UCAUUUACGCGGCUUUCCGGAUACAUGAAACGUGGUCCAUGACCAUGUCUGUGCUUCAGUCACACCAUGAAUCUCAUCCGUGAGCCUCUGUGUGUGCUGUGUGUGUGUGAGUGAGUGAGUGAGAGAGAGAGAGAGAGAGAGAGAGAGCUCGUCUUAAUAACCCCUCCAUCUCCUUUCUCCCACCCCGGCCUGGUCUUUGUUCAAGUUCAGCUCUGCGUCACACUCUCCACUCAUCUGGCCAUCUCCACCUCCUCCUGUAGCGAUGACGAUGACGCCGUACGACAAGGGUUUUCUUGAUGGCUUUUUUGCCGGUGUGUUGUUCAUCCCUGCUGUCGUGCUCGCGGGGAUGUUCCUCGUCUGGGUCGGCAAGAUCUUUGUGAGGGGUGUUCAGGCUUGCCGAGGCGGCGGCGGCAACCACGGAGCUGGCGGCCAGGCAGAAGGCGCAGGCGGCGCCGCGGUCUGAGCUGCAUCCUACCUCGACGGCAUGUCCAGAUCGAUCGGCUCCAGGGCCCUGGAAGGUGUGCAAGCUAGUAUGUAUGUAGUGCUGCGUUGCGUGUGUCUGGUUGUUCGAUCUGAUCUAGCUGUAAUGAACUGCCCGAUCUAGAGUUUCUCUAGCUAUGUGUUGACCGCACCUACACAUGCAUAUUAGUAUGUUUUUAAUAAUCUCCGGCCGGUUCGCCUUUUUCUCCCUCGAUCUUCUUAAUUUGGAGCUGUUUGAGAGUUGCUUCGUGUGCCCUGUGUGCUGCUGCUUCAUUGUUGUGUUUGGUUUCUUGUGUGUGGCCGAUCGAUAUAUCACCGUCCAUAUUAUGCGGUUGGUUGCAUGCUCGUAGAAGAUGCAAGGAUGGAGAGUAACAUCUCCACUCCAAGUUAAUUGAAGUGCUGAGUUCUCUGGUUGAAACCUGCAAACGUGCCUCGAUCGAGAGAAAAAUGGCUAUCUGCUCUUCUAAACAGAGUGGAGUGGGUUAGCUAGUUAGAGACCCCAUCUUCGGUCCAUGCCGUUCGUUGUAGAUCCGGCGGCUUACCAGACAAGUUUGUAGAUUUCCGCUGAUGCUUUGCAUUUUUUCCAUGGUAAUACGUAUCUUAUUUAUAUAGAAUAAAUAUCAAGUUACAAGACACGUAAGCACCGACCAUAAAUGACUGAAAAGAUAGAAAAAUCCUAUGCAAAAUACCAGCACCUGUCGCUUUUCUUCGACACCACCGAAGCGGCCACAAAAAGGUAAAAAAGACAGAUCAUCUCUUCACCAAGUAGUUAACUGAAGUUUUUUUCUUCUUCUUAACCUGCAAGCAAGCUUGUCUUGGGAGACAAUGGUUAUCUGAUUCCGAAAACGGAGUAACUAAUGAAUGGGUGUUUAUGUGGCCAGUUAAAGAUCCACCACCAACGAUCCGUGCUGUUAAUUUGUUGUGGAUCCGAGGCCUUCGUAUAUAUGCUGACAUUGUGGAAUUUUCGAAUCACACUCUCCUAGUCUACAAAUUGCAGCUAGCUAGCCAGGCCAGCCCUUCCGAUUACCCGGGGGAAAAAAAGGUGAUCACACCGCCAGGUUAAGCAUGAUAUCGUGCGCCGGCGCAUCCGUGGUACUCCCUCCGUUCCGAAUUACUUGUCGUAGAUAUGGAUGUAUCUAGAUGUAUUUUAGUUCUAGAUACAUCCAUUUCUGCUGAUUAAUCUCUGUUUCACAAGGGUGGGGCGCACAACUUUUCUACUGAUUAACUUCACCCCCUGAUUUUUAGAAGGGUGGGGCACUUUAUCCCCUGCCUCUAAUUUUAUUGGUCCACCUGACACAUUACAUAAAACAUGUAAGUAGUUUUAUCAAUUGUCCGGCCUCGUCCGUUUACGGCGAAACGGACAGAUUCGGCAGCCCAACAUGCAUGAGCAAACUCAAAUUGUGUCCAACUCGUGUCUAUUUGGACGCAAACUGGGUGCGUAUUUGGGCUGGAUUUGCGUCCACACAGACACUGGACGGAUGCGCACGCGUCACCUCGUCAUCUGCCUACUGGCCCGCAUAUCGGCCCUCCAACCACUUCCCACCUGUUCCAUUAAAUUUACUGCGGACGGGCCCACAUGUCAGCCUUCCAGCCGCCCUAGGCCGCGUCUUUUUUUAUGGCAAAGUCAUGGACUGGCCAAUCCACUUUCUCGACACGCCCACACACUUCCACUCCCAUGCCUUCUCCUACCCUGACCAGCAAACCCUAGCGCCGCCCCAAGCUCGGUCCUCGCUCCCCGCCGGCUGUCGCAAUAGGCAUGUGGAAAUGGGUGCCCGACAAGAAGUCCAAGCACGACCAUAAGGCGGGGUCGUCCUCCGCGUCUUCGGGCAGCGCGGCCGUGUACAGCUCAUCGUUGUCGGCAUUCUCCAUCUCACCUCCGGCGGCCCCUCCACACUUCUGGCGGUACGUGAAGGUGGACAUCUAUCGGUGCUAACGGGAGAGGGAACCCCGUUGUCAUGGUCUGAUGCUCACCUCCCCAAUGGUUGGCAUCUAAGACUGGAUCGGGUGACCAGCCCCACCUCCCGGUCCCAGCGAGCGGCCGUGCGCGCCUCCUCUCGAGAUCAACCGUUGGUGAGCUCGUAUCCCGCGCCACCUCCUCGCCGACCAUUGGUACGAUGUGGACUCGCCGCUCUGGGAGACUUUGUUCAAGGAUGAGCACGACAUGCGCCGGCAAAUGUUCUUUGUCUGUCGUGCUCGUAGCCCUCCCUCUGAGUCGUGUGUGCUAAUAACCCACAAGUAUAGGGGAUCAAUUGUAUCCUUUCUUGAUAAGUAAGAGUGUCGAACCCAACGAGGAGCUAAAGGUAGAUUUUCAUAUUCCCUUCAAGUUCUAUCGACCACUGAUACAAAUCUACGCAUGCUUAACAUUUGCUUUACCUAAAAAAGUAUGAAACUAGAAGUACUUUAUAGGUGUAAAGGAUAGGUUUCCAAGAUAAUAAAGAACACGUAAAUAAAAGAUAGGGGUUGUUUAGAUAAAGUAACAAUUAAGUUAAUUUUAGUAGAGAGCUUUUUGUCACAAGAAAGUUAUUUGUCCCUACGCAAUCAAUAACUAGACCGGUAAUCAUUAUUGCAAUUUUAUAUGAGGGAGAGGCAUGAGCUAACAUACUUUCUCUACUUGGAUCAUAUGCACUUAUGAUUGGAACUCUAGCAAACAUCCGCAACUACAAAACAUCAUUAAGGUAGAACCCAACCAUAGCAUUAAGUAUCAAGUCCUCUUUACUCCCAUACGCAACAACCCCCUUACUUACUCGGAUGUAAGCUUUUGUCACUCUAGCCACCCGCUAUAAGAGAAUCAUGAACAUAUUGCAACACCCUACAGCGGGGAUCCCUCACACUUGUGCGACACGGAGAGCACAGUAGGACAGCACCAAUAAUAAAACAUACAACUGAAACCAAUCAUGAUCAUCAUUUAACCGAUAGGACAAAACGCAUCUACUCAAACAUCAUAGGAUAGCCAUACAUCAUUGGAAAAAAAUAGCAUUGAGCACCAUGUUUAAGUGGAGAUUACAACGGGAAGAAGAGGUGUUACACCGCUGCAUAGAGGGAGAGAGAGUUUGUGUUGACGGCGGCGAAGUUGUUGGUGUAGAUCGCCGUCACGAUGAUGGCCCUGGCGGUGUUCCGACGCCACCGGGAGAGAGGGGGAGAGCCCCCCUCCUUCUUCUUCUUCUUCCUUGACCUCCCCCUAGAUGGGAGGAGGGUUUCCCCUCUAGUCCUUAGCCUCCAUGGCGGCAGUGGGGCGGGAGCUCCUCCGAGAUUGGAUCUCUCUCUCUGUUUCUCUUUUGUUUCGUGUUCCUAUUUUCUGGCCUUUCACCGUUUUUUUAAUAUCCGGAGAUCCAUAACUCCGUUUGGGCUGAAAUUUUAACAUGAUUUUUAUCACGAUAUAAACUUCCUUGCAGUCAAAGGACACCUCCAACCGACCUACGGGGUGGAUACAAGCUUGCCAGGCGCUCUCUGGGUAGGGGGGGCGUGCCCCUUGAGCUUGUGGGCCCAUUGGGCAUCGUCUCGCCUUGAUUCUGCUUCCCAAAAAUCACAUAUAUUCCAAAAUAAAUCUAUCACCAUGGCCGUCAGGAGGCCGGCCAUGCCAUGAUGCAGAAGUAGCCGCUGCCACCUCAUACCGACGUGAACCGACCUGCAUGAUCCACAAUAACCCUGAGGUCAUUGCGCCAACAUCCUUCGUGUGAACAAAGGAGCCUUCGAUGCAUCCCCGUUCCAUGAUGGAUCGGGAGACUGCCUGCCGACGACAUUCAAACUUGUACACGAAGAGAUUGAAGUGAAUGGAGCAAUCCUUAUUGUAGGAUUCAUUCAGAUAUUUAUAUAUCCUAAACAGGUGUUUACAAUGUCGGUGGAAAAUGUUUGGGCAAUCCCAAGAUUCUAAUUGUCAGAUAGGAUAUUCUAAAGAAUCUACCAAACUGCCUUGGUUCCUUGACACACCCCCUUGGACAACGUUGUUUUCUUAGCUUCAUUGUCUUGAGAAUCUUCUUAUAUCUUGAGUGCCCGAAAGUCUUGCAUUUCCUUGACAGUCUUUGAUCUUGAAACUUUCGAUAAUCUUUGAUCUAGUAUUGUUUAUGUUCUUCAAAAUUCAUGCGGGUCAAAUAUAAGGAGAACUAUAGGAAUUUAAUAUACUAAUCAUUUUUCUCAUUAAAACCUACAUGAGAAACCGAUUUUUGAAGAAAAAACUCAUAAUUGAAGAGUAAAAUACUCCCUCCAUUCCCUUAUACAAGGCCACAAACUCAAAUCACAGGUACCUAGGUAAAAUUUAAUGACUAAUUUGCAAGCCAACGUUUCUUCUUGUUAUCUGGGAACAUUAAUACGCCCGCAUGCAUUGCAAGGAAGGAGUGAGAAGGAAGUAGCACAGUGUCAUUAUGACUAUAUGCAUGCAAGUAUUAAACAAGUUGGUAGUACGAGAAAACAUCAUUAAAUUUUGCCUCGGUUACUGUUAGUGGCCUUGUAUAGAUGCAAAAUGUAUUUUUUAUUGUGGGCUUAUAUAAGGGAAUGGAGGGAGUAUUUAUUAUCGGAUGAUAAUUAGUAAGUUUAGUUCUAGGAGAUUUCUCCUGCUAAACUUUGAAAAUUUUGUAAUUGUCUCAUACAUAUGCCUUGAAUGCAUUUAUGAGAUAUAGCUAUUGGUAAAGACUUAGUGAACAAAUCUGCAAGAUGAUCACAAGAUUUUGUUUGCAAAAUAUCAAUUUCUCCAAAAUAAAAUGUAAUUCAUGAGGAAAAAUCAAUUUUUGAGCAAUAUGUUUUGUGAUAUUACUUCCAAUCUAGCCAUAACAUCUGAGCAACGUAUGCAUCAUUAUCCUCAUAGAUAAUGGUUGGUGAUUCUAAUGAACCAAUACCACAUGUCUUUGAAGCCAUACACACUCUCGUGAGGCUUCAUAAUUAUUUUAGACUGCUUAGUGGAAUUUGCUACUAAAGUUUGCUUUGUUGCUUUCAUGGAAUAGUAGUUCCAUCGUAUAAAAAUACAAACCCCAUUUGUGACCUGGCAUUACGAGGACCAGAAAGAUAUUCAAGGCCAAUAUAACCAAUUAGGGCCAUUUCUUGUUUUUUCUCGAUAAUAUAACCAAGUUAUUUAUUACCAUGCAAAUAUCUUAAGAUAUUCUUUACUCCUUCCCAAUAAAUCUUGUUGGAGUUGAACUAUGUCUAGCCAAUACAUUUAUUACAAAGGCAAUGUCAGCUCCAACAAUUUUGUGUUGCAAAUCUAAUAUUUUUGGAACUUCACAUUCAGAUUCACUAGUACGUGGAUCUAAGGACCAAAUGCCAAUAAUAUUCCAAUCUGUUUCCUGGCAUUUUUUAUGGUUUGUUUCUCCCCCUGAUGCCAGGAAAUAGUCCUCGUGACAAAUUUAAUCAGCAUACUGGAUUAUGAAUAAGUCCGUGUUAGGGGUUCUAAAUAUUUUUCAAUUGGCGUUGAAUUGGUACGUAUACAACGCAAUCAAAUUUUUGUGGAUGAAAAAUACUUUGUUGAUUGCUACAUACUAUUUGAAAUGGGGAAGUUCUAUCAUUUGCAGUUGGUCUUGCUUGUAUCAACUCUUGGGCGUGUAAAACCUCAUGUCCCAAACAGGAGGUGGGUAAAUUGCAAUUCUGCAAUAACGGUCUAGUAAUUAGUUUCACUCCUUUAGUUAAAUAUUCAGCAAUUUCAUUUUCCGUAUGACCAUAGGGUGUUGAAUGUUCUAGAUGGAUACCUAUAGCCGUAAAAUAAUCACUAAAUGUGCAUGAACUAAAUUUCACCGCAUUAUCCAUUCUUAUUGUUUUUAUUGUAUGUUCAAGGAUGACUUGCUCACAAUUUGAUAAUUUGGCAAAGACACGGCGACGUGUGGAUAAUAAACAGAUAUGUGACCAUCUAGUGGAUGCAUAUAUUAGCACCAUGAAGUACCUAAACUGUCCAUGGAGGUUGUAUUGGACCAUAUAUAUCACCUCUAAUUCUUUCAAGAAAAUUAAGUGACUCCUUUACAAUGGCUUAAUAUUUAAUUUUCUGGUAUCACAUGCGGUGCAUAAAAAAUCUGAUGAUUUGGGAAAUCUUCUUAUUGGUAAAUUAUGACGAAAAUAAUUACUUAUAAUUUUUCUCAUCACACCUAUUUCAGGAUGACCAAGGCGAUCCUGCCAAGUUUUGAAUUUAUCAAGAUUUUGGAAGAAAAUAAUUUGUACGCAAUAUAAGGUACGGAUUCUUCCUACAUUGGAUUGUUUCACCUAAAAUUUAUUUCUUCCCUUGUGUAGUCUAUUCGCUCUGGUUCGAGUGGCGCCUGAUAAUUUGAAUAGAAUAGACAGGUUGUGAAUGAGACAAUCUUUAUCGAAGGGCCAGAAGCCGAUCUUUGUUAGAAGAAGAAGAAGAGCAGUACAACACCACAAGCAGUCCAGGAGGUCUGGGCCUGCCGGCAGGUGAUCAGAGAAUACAAGCGCCGAAGAGUGCGCUGGCUAACUAACUAAAUCAACCACACAUCCGGUCGAUCUCCACAUUCCAAUGUCCUCUCUGAUAAGAUCUAAGACCCUCUCAAUAUUACAAGCAGUGUGUUCAAAAAUUCUCGCAUUCCGCUCUUUCCAGAUCCUCCAAUGAAUAAGAAUGGCGAUAGUGUCAAAGUUCCGGCGCGCUUGCUUAGGAAUUGUCCUCCUUGCCGCCAGCCACCAGUCUUCUGUGCUGUCGAAUCUGCUAUCCGAGAUGGGGAAAUCAACUGUAGACCAUUGUUUAAAGAGGUUCCAUAGCUGCUGAGUAAAUCCACAGUGCACAAACAAGUAUGCACAGUUCUCCGACUGAGCUGAACAAAGUGGGCAGCCCCGAUUGGACGGCCAUCCUCGUUCCUGAAGGUUGUCUGCUGUAAGGCACUUCUUAUGUAUGAGAAGCCACAUAAAGAACUUGCCACGUGGGGGUGCUUUGGAUUUCCAUAAGGGUUUGUGACAAGCAAACCUAAUUCCAGCCAUGAAAAACAUCUUAUAAGCAUUGCUGACUGUGAAUUAGUGGUGCUCUGUCCUCCUCCACUCGAGUCGAUCCCGAGCCUCCGAAUCGAGUACAGCAGCCUGUGCAAUGUCCCAGACCCAUAAGUAUUGCGCCAAGGCUUGGACUGUCAAGCCGCCUUUGAUGUCCUUGAUCCAUCUUCGAUUGUGUAGCGCAUCCAGGACUGACAACUUGGAAUCUUUCACAAAUGAAAACAAGGCUGGUGCCAAGGAGGCAAUACUACGCCCUUCCGGUGUCCAGUUAUCAGUCCAAAACCUGGCAGUGUCGCCUCUCCCCAGUAUCAUUCAACCUGCAGCCGCAAGAAUAGCGGAGGCGUCCUUGUCUUGCUGAUCUAGAAAUAGCUGCCACGGAUGUUUUUCAACAUCCCGUCUUAGCCACUGCCAUCGACACCGAAGUGCGAUCCCAAAAUCUUUCAGGUUCAAAAGACCGAGGCCUCCCCAUUCUUUAGGUCUGCAAACCCGGGCCCAGGGUAUCAGGCAAUGGCCUUCGUUGAUUUCCUCCUCUCCUUUCCACACAAAGGCUCUACAUCUUCUGUCGAUAAUAUUUAGAGCCCACGCUGGUAAUGGGAUAACAGCCAAAAAAUGCGUCGGAAGAGCCAACAAAACCGAGCUCGUCAGUGUCACUCUGCCUGCUGGCGCCAACAAUUUGGGUUUCCACCCUUUCAACUUGCUGGAGUACUUGUCAAUCAGAGGCAGAAUGUCUUGUCUCCUCAACUUGAAGAUUGAGAGCGGAAGACCCAGGUACUUCAGGGGAAACUGGAUGUGCCGACAGUUAAAGAAAGCCGCAACCUCCAUGGCCUGCUCUUCCCCACACCGGAUACCCGUGACGGAGCUUUUCUCAAAGUUGAUUCUAAGCCCGGAGGCCUCGCGAAACAGCCCAAGGAUUGCAAAAAUGACAUGUAGAUCAGAUGCAACUGGAGCAAAAAAUAUAAUCGCAUCAUCCGCAAAGAUAGAGGCCCUUGGGGUUCUUGCAUCCACACCAAGAUUUACCAGCAGAUUUUGACUCACAGCCCAACUAAGCAUAGCUUGCAGCGCGUCGAUGUCCAAGAUAAAAAGAGACGGCAAUAUGGGAUCACCCUGCCUUACUCCCUUCCCCAGAGCGAACUGCGUGCUGGUCUCCCCAUUGAUGAGAACCGAAGAUGAGGCUGAGCUCAGAAGACCGCAAAUCCAGGAGCACCAUUUGUUUUUAAAACCUCUGACCUGCAAGAUCUCCAAUAGGAAUUACCAGGACAAGGAAUCAAAAGCCUUUGAUAUAUCUAUUUUCAUAAGCAUAGAUGGGUGUUUCUUCUGGUGCAGGGCUUUGGCCGCAUUCCGAACAAACUUGAAAUUCUCAUGUAUAGAUCUCUUAGUGACAAAAGCACUCUGUGCUCUGGAUACAAUACCUGGAAGCAGCAAGGCCAAGCGAGUUGCCAAAACCUUCGAAAAGAUCUUGGCCACUCCAUGAAUUAGGUUUAUAGGCCUAAAAUCCGUUAGCUACAUCGAUCCCUCCUUUUUCGGCAAAAGCGUGAGGAUUGACGUGUUCAGCCCACCGAAGGAGGAGAAGUGGCCCUGGUGAAGGGCAUCCAUAGCUGCCAUAAAGUCAUCCGCGAUGAUAUCCCAACAAAUCUUGUAGAAAAGUCCAGAGAAGCCAUCGGGACCAGGGGCCCGGUCAGAAGGCAUUUCAUCCAGCACCUUCUUAAUCUCCUCUCUAGAGAAAGGAGCCUCCAGCUCCCGAGACGAGGCCUUAGAUAUCUUGCCAAGGCCCAACCUCGCCAAAUCAAUAACUUUGUGUCUAGCCGUUGGGACCCCGAUCGAUUCCUUAAAGAAAUCAUGAGCCAAGUUUAACUUUUCUUCCAUGGAGGUAGCCAAGCACUCCCCAGAUUGUAGGCAAGGAAUAAGAUGCUUCCUUCUGCGCCCGUUAGCUUUGAGAUGAAAGUAUUUCGAGUUUGCAUCUCCUUCCUUCAAAUCUCUGAUUUUUGCUCUUUGUCUUAGCCUAACUCUCUCCAAGGAUGUCUGAUUAACCACCAAAGUAUCAAGUACAUUCAGCUUAGAUUCUUGGAAGCAAACCAAGGACACAUCACAAGACUGCAUAAAUAAACGGAUAGAAUUGCGCUUGGCCGGGUUAUUCAGCCCCCUAACAUUCCACACAAGUAGUCUGAAUGACAUGACUAACAGUAGACAGCACACCCACAAUGAGUACAGGAGAUUCAUGCUCCGCACGGCUCAACACUCUUUGGCAAGUUGAAGACCGCAAAACCAUCGUGCGCCGGUUCGUCGAAGGCGUUGCCGUCUAGAUCAAAGAGGGCAGCCACCGCCUUGAUAUGGUGCAAAGCCAAUGGCACUUGAAAGAGCUUCAGAUAGGCAUCCAUGGCCUCCGGAGACACGCAUUCUUCAUCCCUGAUCACUCCGAGGCCACGAAGCAGAACAUUUUGAGCCCUCUCGACCGGCCCCAUGCGAGCCCCCCCCCCCCCAUUCAUCUUAUAUAGCCGUUCACUCUUGCGUGGNNNNNNNNNNNNNNNNNNNNNNNNNNNNNNNNNNNNNNNNNNNNNNNNNNNNNNNNNNNNNNNNNNNNNNNNNNNNNNNNNNNNNNNNNNNNNNNNNNNNNNNNNNNNNNNNNNNNNNNNNNNNNNNNNNNNNNNNNNNNNNNNNNNNNNNNNNNNNNNNNNNNNNNNNNNNNNNNNNNNNNUUGCGUGGGGUGAAGCCGGGCGGCAGAGUCUUCUUGCGCCGAACUGGAGCCGAUGCCGCCGGCUGUUGCCCCAGGAUAGACGGCCUGGGCGAAACCCCGAGCCCUGCCAGCAGCGAAUCCUGCGUCGACAGGGGACCAGCCACCCCCGCGCCUCCCGUAGACGCGGACAGCGGCGGAAGGAGCUGGUGUGGCUACAGGGAGACAGCAAACAGCGUGCUCACCACGCUCCCCUGCUCUCCAGACUGCGCCUCCCGCGUAUCAGGCAUCUUGAGUGGCGGCAAUGUAGCACACGAGCCAGACGGGAUGGCUUGCUUGGAUGCUUGAUCGUCUCCUGGCCUGUCAUCCCCACCGCCCUCCACUGGACUGAAUGAGAGGCGCCAAGGGGAUGGGCUGCACCAUCCACAGCCAAACCCAUGGUCUGGCGUUCGCCCAAGCGCCGCAGAUCCCACCGCCGUGGAUGCGACCAAAGAGCGUCCGCAAGGGGUGUCCUCCCACGCCGCCGAGCCGACCGCGGUGGAAGCCGCCGAAGAGGACCCAGUCUUGCGCACGCCGACCGACACGGCUGCAGGCCUGAUCGGGCCCGACACCAUGAAGGAACUCGCCCGCACCGGGGAGCCAAGCUCCAAUCCUCCAGGUGGAGCGAGUAGGCCAUUCACCCGCCGGCUGCCCCAAUCCCCAACGAUGCCCAGGCCGCCCGAUCCACCAAAGGGGUGGCCUCCCGAGCAAAUGGUGUUGCCCUGGCCCUCGUCGUCUAUCCGUCCCCUGAAGCAGCUUCGAGAGUAGUCAUGCCUCCUUGUGAGGUCUUCAUCAUCCUCUGGCUCGUAGUUUGGGCAAAGCUCCAUGAACGGCACCAUACGAUCCACCACAUCCAACACAUGGAUGGUAAGAGUAUGAAUCAGAGUGCGGCAUUUAGAUGGCGACGCCGGCGGCGGAGGCGCGAAUGUCCAGUCCUCGUCCACCAUGUUGGGCAGACCCAACGGCUCGGGAAUCUCCAGAUCAUACACCUUCGGGAUGCCGGAUGGAUUGCGCAUCCAAGCAGUGACAUCAACCUGCCAGCGAUCCUCUUGUGGAAGCACCUCCACCAGUUGGCCUUGAAGAUUGUUGACGAGUUGGAUUAGGGUCUCCCACUCCCAGCCACUCGCUGGCAACCCCUCUAUUCCCAUCUUGCAGAAGAACUCGAGCUUGCCACUGGAUGCUUGAGCGCACUGAUGCCAGCGCUGGAAUGCAAUGGGCGCGCCCGCACACCGGAUCCGGCCGGUUUGGCUGAAGACCCAGUCGCAAUCCUCCAUAGAAGCAAAACAGAUGAAAAAAUCCGCUGGGCGCGUCACUUCCACCCGGACGAACCUCCUCUCGAUCCCGCACACUCGUGCCCCAGGGCUUGCACCAGCGCCUCCGGCGACACCGUAGGCCGCUGACCUUGCACCGAGGCAAGCAGCGCGCGGUUGCAGAAAUCCACCUCGAGUUCAUCCAUGCCCGCAGUGCGCGAGAUAAUGCCGCCACCACGAGCCGGCCUCAGAUUGGGAUCCCCAUGGGUAAACACCUCCCCAGGGAAGCGCUCACGAGCCAGUGGGGGGUAGUGCGCCAUGGAGCCAGAGGGGGCGGGGGAGGCGGCGCGGAAGAGCCCGCCGUCGGUGAUUUGGGAUGUGCGCAGGGAUUUGGCGGAGCCCCGCGAGAUCUGGCAGGACGCGGCGCCUAGCUAUGCGAAGCGAGGGAGGAACAUGAGCGAGCAAUGUGUCCCGAGAUCCAGCAGCGGUGGCAGCGAAUUUCACCGGAGCACUCCGCCUUAAAGUGCCCUGCCUCCAGGCAUUUAAAGCAGAGGCCCUCCAGCCAUCGGGGCAUCCGAGGCUUGGAUGCAUCUGGGAGCUUGACGGCAGGAGCAUCUUCAUAAUGGCGCCGGUGACGGCGAUUCCGCACUUCGACCCAUCCGUCGCCAUCUGGCUCUAGAUCCACCGUGGCAGGACGAGAGCGGCCCGGGAGCGGCGCCGCAGACGAAGCAGACGAACAGGAGGCCGCAGUCGUCGCAAGGGCAUUAUCUGGCCGUUGGGAUUCGGAGCGAAACCCAGCGGGUGAGGCUGUGGUUGGGAGAAGCGGCUGCGGAUCGGACCGUUGACGACAACGGUGACGUAGGAGCGAGCAGGAGGACGAGAGGACCGUUGGGAAGCCAUCCGGGGAAUGUUUGAAUGAGACAAUCUUUAUUGCAGGAUUCGUUGAAGUAUUUAUAUGUUCUCAAGGGGGUGCUUACAAUUUUUUUAAAAACUGGUGCUUACAAUGCUUCUCUUUUUAAAACCGGUGCUUAGAGCAUCUCUAGCAGAAUCCGUAUAAUGCCGACCCGCAUCAUGCGUUUACAGUUCGGGGAAGAUCUGUUUUGCGGGGCGAAAUCGUGCGCUGCAGAAUAGACCCCGUAUAUGAACCUAUAAAAUUAAAAAAAGGGUCUUGCGGGAGAAACUACAACCACAUUAAUCAUUCAUAGUUCAUCAUAACAUACUACAUAGAUCAUACAUACUACAUUCUACUACUACUAGAGGGGGGUAUGCGGGCUCGCGACGGCUACCAAAAUGGAUGAGCUCGUGGCGGCGAGGCCGACGCGGUGGACGAGCUCGUCGUUAGACAGUCCUCCUCGUCGGAUUUGACGAGGUCGAUGUACUUCUUAUUCUCCUCGCGGAUGCGCCGCCACUCUUCGUCCUUGUCCUUCGCUGCGAGGUUGGCCCCAGCCGCCUGCUUAAAGAGGAGCUCUUCGAUCUCCUCAGCGGUGGCGCUCCCCCUCCUCUUGCAAGCUCCGUGCGGGAAUCGCGGCCGCGACCGCCUCGACAUCAUCGCCUACGUAAUCUUCGAGACCGAUGAAGCCUCGAAGCGGGAUCUCCUCCGGCUCCCGCUUAACGGCGACGAGCUAGCCCUCCUCUCACUCCCUAUUCAUGGGGAGAAGCGCCGCGCCGGAAUGGCCCCCCGCUCUGGCGGAAGAGCCCGCGGCCGAGGAGGAGCCCGCGGCCGAGGAGGGCGUCCGCCCGUGCCGGCGGUCAUACUCCUCCGUCUCACAACGGAGGAGCCUUGCCGGUGGCUCGAGGCUUUGGUUGGUCCACUUCCUGGCCGUACGCUUCCUCGCGCCGUCCGCGCGGACACACUGCUCGCAUUCGGGGUCACCCCCGCCGGAGUUGCGGCCGGAGCUCCACAUACGGCCCCACAUGGCGGCAGGAGGCGGAACUGGGCUCACCGUCGGCGAGAAAUGCGACGGAGGGAGUGGGGAAUCGCGGGGAAACACGGCGGCGGGGGAUAGGGUUUCGAUCCGUAUCUGCCCCGCAAACCCGUAGUUAUACGGCUCGGGGGUAACGUUUGCGGGCCGUGGUUAAAAAAAUUACGGGCCGGACGAGUAUACGGGCUCUGUUCUGGUUAGAAAAUUGGGCCGAGCCCGUAUACUCACCGGUAUUAUGCGGGUUUGCGCAUUAUAUGGGUUUGCGAGAGAUGCUCUUACAAUGCUUUCUCUGAGUUGGUGCUUACAAUGUUGGCUACAAGUGCUUUGCGUUAUUUAGAAAAGUAGACCCAGCGACGGUUCGCUAUGUACAACGUCAAGAUUCUAUUUGCCAGGGGUGAUCACAAUACGAUUUUUUUUAACCAAAGCCUCAUGGCAUUUUCUUUAGAUUGUGGCAGUGUUACAUCGCUGAGAACACCUUCAACAGGCCCGCAACACGCGGCGCGCUAAAAAACCGUUUAUAGCGCCUCCGCAGCCACUUUUUGCGCGCCGCGGAGCGAUGGCUUCAGCGCCGCUGCAAAAAAUUGUGCACGCCCCGCUCCAACAGACGCGCUAUAUUUCUUCUCCUUCUACUCUGACUCGAUACAUAUUCGGCUCCGAUUUGUGAUACUAUAGGCUAGAUAGAUAAACGAUAGAUAGAUAGUACAUAGAUAGAUAAACGAUAGAUUAAACGAUACAUAGAUAGUUCAUAGCCUCCUCCUACGAUAGAUAAUAAAACGAUAGAUAAAAAAACUAAUCCUCGUCGUCCUCCUUCUCCUUCUCCGACUCCGCCUCGGUGAUGUCCUCCUCCGACGUCUCAACGAAGGUGUCAAGGUACCGAUCGUUGUUGGAAUCCCAGGACGACGCUGCUCCUAGGUUGAUGUUGAAUUGAGCGGCCGCCUUCCGCGUACGCCUGUCAUUGCGAUUGGCGGCUCGCUCCGUCCUCCUCUCCGCCCUCCUUUGCGCGAAGAAUUGGCGCUCGUUGAUGACGUCCCGCGGGAAGCGUUGGCGCCAUAGCUCCAUGGCUUCCUCGCCCAUCUCGGCAAGGCUGAGACAACACUGGCGCCUCCGGUUGUCGCAACGAUCCUCGUCGGUGAUAAGCCGCGGGGGAGGCGCCAGCUCCCCCGUCGGCACCUCCAGGAAGUUCAUGUCCCUACGAGGCCGCCGGGGGCGCCACGCAGCCGCGUUGUACGCGCGGGCGGCCUCGUGGGCGGUGUCGAAGGUGCCGAGGCCAAGACGCAUGUCGCCGAACCGGAUCUCGGCGGAGAAGGCGCCGGAGGGGUGCGCGCGUCGACGGCGAGGCGAGAAAGCUGCAGAGGGAGUGGCAGAGGGCGCGUGGCGAGGUGGAGAGCGGUGGGAGGGCGCGUGGCGGGCGCUGUAUUUAUAAAGCGCCGGAUGCGUUAAAACCGCCUUUUACCGUGUGCGGACGGUUUUUCGCCACCGCUGAAGCGCUCGAAACCGUCCCCACAUGCGUUAAAACCGCCUUUUACCGCGUGCGCACGUUUUUUGCAGCCACUGUGUAAGAUGCUCUGAGUACAGUGAGUACAUGAGAAAGUAAAAAACUGGGAGCAACAUCUGCCCAAACAAAACUUGACUUAUCCCACGGGCACGCAUGGCUGCCUAUAGUUCGGGGACGGAGAGGGUUACGGGAAGCCCAUAGGUUCUCUCUGAUCGUAUGAGGAAUGUUCCCUUGAUAAUUUGGCGGAAUCGCGGCCAUGUGAGUGUGAUCGCGUGCAGGAGAUGGGCGGUUAGAUAGACAUCGACCGGUCAAUUAACAUUGCAGCAGCAGCAGUAGAAACUGCUCCUGUAAUUGUCGCCAAAGAAAGCUAGAUCAGGGGAGAAACACAAAGAGUACUCUAUUAUUCUUAGUCUUUUGAUUAAAUAUUCAACCAUUUCAUUUUGAGUAUGAACAUAGGGUACUGAAUGUUCUAGAGUGAUACCUAAAGUCAAAAAAUAAUCAUUAAAUGUUUGUGAACUAAAUUUAGCUGCAUUAUCCAUUCUUAUUGUUUUUAUCGUGUGUUCAGGAUGAUUUGCUCACAAGUUGAUAAUUUGAGCAAUUAAUUUUGCAAAGACAUGGUUAUGUGUAGAUAACAAACGCGGAUGCAUCUAUUAGCACCAUGCAGUACCUAAAUUGACCAUAAAGGUUUUUUUUAGAAAUGGAGGUGUGCCCCCGGCCUCUGCAUCAUAAUGAUGCAUGCAGCCAUCUUAUUAAAAAUCCAUGAAGUAUCCAAAUAGUCAUAAAAUUAUUACAGCUCGCAAAAGAAGCAAAUCAAAGGAAAAAACAAAAGUACAUGCUGACAAUCACAACCGAUACGAUAAUAAGAAGGAUAAACUCCCUAGACUCCUAUCCUGUUAUGCGACCGCCAUCCGAACCGGUUGAAUAUAGCCCGAGCUACCAUCUCUCACUGGUUGCACCCAGUAACCAAAGGCUCCCUAGAGUCCAUAGGAGUGAGUAAGGAUCACGUACGGAUCCAAGUUGUAGCUCUGAAGAUGAUCUGCAAGAAAGUUAAAGUGUGUUGUCUGUUAAAAAUCAUAUCAUUCCUACAGUUCCAUAUAGCCCAUAAUAGUGCACAUAUUCCAAUCCGAAUACGAGCCGCAGUGAUCUGUUCAACCCCAGCUAAUCACGUCCCAAACAACGACGCAAUAUUGACUGGAGGAUUAAUGUUGAAGGCUAUAUGAAUCAUUCUCCAAAAUAACUUGGCAAGUGGGCAUUCAAGGAAUAAGUGUUGUAUUGUUUCAUCAUGAUCACAAAAACAGCACUGCGAACUACCUACCCGUCGCCUCUUGAUUAAGUUGUCCUUGGUGAGUAUCACUCGCUUGUGGACGAACCACAUAAAGAUUUUGAUACGCAAAGGAACCUUAACCCUUCAAAUAUGCAAUGAUCUUGAGAUUGGGCCAGAAUUAAUCAAAUCCAUAUAGAAUGAUUUCAUCGUAAAAAUCCCAUUUUUUGGUUAAUUUCCAUUGUGUCGAAUCCGGCUGGUCGGAGAGUUGAACCUCUAUCAGCCUCCGAACCAAAUGCAUCCAGACAGUCCAUCUCUCACCAACUAACGCACGUCUGAACUGAAUAUUCAAGGGAGUUGUUUGGAACACUGUGCCUACGUAAUCCUCCUUACGUUGCAUAAUAUUAUAAAGGAUGGGAUAUUGGACGGCCAGGGGCGUCUCUCAUAACCACGUAUCCUCCCAAAAUCUUGUUGACAUCCCAUUGCCAACCAAGAAUUUGACCUUGCGGAAGAACAAGUCCUUCGUUCUCAUAAGUCCCUUCCAGAAUGGCGAGUCAGUAGGUCUCAUGGUAACCUGGGCAAGUGUUUUUGACUGUAAAUAUUUAUUGUGCAGAAUUUGUGCCCACAUACCCUCCGGCUCUGUCUCUAACCUGUAGAGCCAUUUGCUCAUAAGGCAUUUAUUAUUAAUUUCUAAGUUCUCAAUACCAAGACCCCCUUGGUCUUUUGGUCGGCAAAGGAUAUCCCAUCGUGCGAGACGGUAUUUCCUCUUGGCCUCAUCAGAUUGCCAGAAGAAACGAGAUCUAAACAAAUCAAGUCGCUCCGAACCCCUUUUGGAAUUUCGAAGAACGAAAGUAGGAACAUCGUCAUACUAGUCAGUACCGAGUUAAUCAUGACUAGCCGACCUCCAUAUGACAUAAGCUUGCCCUUCCAUCAGCUAAGUUUUUUUCAAUUCGAUCUUCGAUACACUUUCAUUCUUUAUUGUAUAACUUGCGAUGGUGAGUCGGUAUUCCCAAAUAACUGAAUGGUAAAGCACCUAAUUCACAUUUGAACAAUUGUCUAUAAGUGUUUUGCUCGUCUUUGGCCUUCCCAAAGCAAAAAAAAUCGCUCUUGUGAAAGUUCAUCUUUAAGCUAGACAAUUGUUCGAAGAGACAUAAAAUAAGUUUCAUAUUACGUGCCUUAGCCAUGUCAUGUUCCAUGAAUAAGAUAGUGUCAUCACCAUACUAUAAAAUGGAUACUCCUCCGUCAACUAGAUGAGGAACUAACCCCUCCACAUGACCAUGCUGCUUGGCCCUGCCAAUAAGAAUGGCCACAUAUCUGCCACUAUAUUAAACAAGAGAGGAUACAUGGAAUCCCCUUGUCUUAGCCCCUUGUGUGCCUGAAAAUAAUGACCAAUAUCAUCGUUAAUCUUGAUUCCGACACUACCCUUCUGGACUUGGAUACCCACUUGGUUCCGCCAGGGCUCACUAAAUCCUUUCAUGUGCAUUGCCUGCUGAAGGAAAGGCCACUUAACUUUAUCAUACGCCUUCUCAAAAUUCACUUUGAAGAUAACCCCAUCUAGUUUCUUUGAGUGAAUCUCAUGAAGCGUUUCAUGCAAAACGACCACACCUUCAAGUAUGUGUCGCCCUGGCAUGAACGCUGCCUGGCUCGGUUGUACCACUGAGUGAGCAAUUUGUGUCAAUCUAUUGGUUCCAACCUUUGUGAAAAUUUUGAAACUCACGUUAAGAAGACAUAUGGGCCUGAAUUGUUCGAUCCGAACUGCCUCGUCUUUCUUUGGCAACAGCGUUAUCAUACCGAAGUUAAGAUGAAACAACUCUAAAUGACCGUUGAAGAAAUCAUGAAACAUAGGUAUAAGAUCAUCCUUAAUAAUAUGCCAACAUUUCUUAUAGAUUCAGCUGGAAACCCAUCUAGUCCCGGUGCUUUAUUCGGUUUCAUUUGUGACAUUGCCUCCAGAACCCCUCUAUCAGUAAAUGGUGCAGAGAGAAUAUCAUUCUCCUCUGCCUGUAUUUGAGGUAUAUCUCCAAUCACAGAUUCAUCUUGCACCACCCUACUUGUAUUUGGAGGCCCAAAAUUAUAUUCCCUCCGUCCCAAAAUAAGUGUUUUGAGCUUAAUACAAAUUUGUACUAGAGCUAGUACAAAGUUGAGACACUUAUUUUGGGACGGAAGGAGUAGUAAUUAGAGAUAUAAGCUUUCAGGUUCUCAUGCCCCACAAUUGUCCCCUCGUCCUGUUCAAGCUGUAUGAUUUUCUUUUUCCUAUGUUUACCAUUUGCAACCAUAUGGAAAAAAUUUGUAUUGUCGUCUCCUUGGACAACCUUAAACACUUUAGCACGCAAUGCCCACUUGAGCUUCUCCUCUCUCAGGAGAGCUCGUAGGCCUUGCUCAGCAUCGGACUUGGAUUUUUGCUCAUUAACCGUAAGAAGAGUGACCAUAGAGGUUGUAUUGGACCACAUAUAUUUCCUUGAAUUAUUUCAAGAAAAUUAAGUUAGUCAUUUGUAAGUUUGAGGCAUACAAAAUCCAUUGAUUUGGGAACAUCUAAUUGGUCAAUUAUGGGCAAAAAAUUACGUAUAGUUUUCCUCAUCAUACCUACUAUUCCAGAAUGACCAAGGCUUUCAUGUCAAGUGUUAUCAUCAUGAACGAGUCAACCUGCUAUGACGUUUGCCACAACGUAAAAGCGAUCAUUUUUUUUUUGUAGACUAAUACCGAAUUACCGAGGCAAUCUCACUGGCAGUGGCAGGCUUGGCUGACUGCAGUUCGUAGGAAUCGUACGAGGAAUGUUCCCUUAAUAAUUUGGUGGAAAUCGGGUGCCGGAGAUGGGCGGUUAGCUAUCGACUGCUCAAUUAACAAUGCUGCAGCAGGUGCAUCAGAAAAUUGGAACUAUGAUACUAUUGAUAAACCAAGCAAUUAAUACAGAAGUUCUAAUCCAUAAUCCAUCGUUGUCUCCUCUCUGCGCCGAUUGCCUUUCUAUCCUUUCUGUAACCAAGUCCCAUCUAGAAAUGGUGAGAAAAAUAUCAACAUUUAUUAAAAAAAAUGGAUGUGGUGUUGAUUUUGAAGUAAAUCUGGAUAUGUAAAUAUUUUUCAAAUGCAAGUUGGACAUUUUAAUACACAUUGAACUGCUUUAUGAUACAUUACAACAAAGUCAAAACAAUAAGUAUUUUUAAUACAGCAUUAUAACAUUCUAAAUAAAUGUCGAACAUGUUUAAUAUAUGAUCCAUUUUUUAGUAAUUCUAAGCAUUUUCUAAACAUACAUUGAACUAUUUUAAUACAUGAUAAUCAUUUUGAAAAAAAGAUGAAUAUUGUUGAACAUGGAAACACUAUAACAAAAUACAUGAAGAUUUUCAAAAUACGUGAACCCUUUAUAGAAAUAUUCUAACAUCUUUAAAUAAUAUAUGAUUAUUUUAAUUUUUCAUAUGUGGGAAUACUUUCACGACACACAAACAUUUUCUUAUUGUCAUUACGUUCAUGAUAUAUUAACUUGUGAGAAAAUCAUUUGUGCAUAUACAUUAUAUGAAAAGUUUUGAUUACUCUACCAAAAAAUUAGAGAAAGGGAUUUAAAAAUAAAAAAUAAACAAAGAAAGAGAAGAGAGAAACACUACUACUUGAGCCGUCCCAUACAACUUAAAGGCAAAUUCUAUGGCAUAUCCUUUUUACCGCGUACUACGGUGGAUAGCCGACAAAACGCGCACCGCUUGACGAGAUUGUCUUGUUAGAUGGACAGCGCAUUCCAGGUUUUGGGAAGGUUCUAGAAUCCAAACCUACCGCCUUCUUUUUACCUUAUUUUUCCUUUUUUAUGUUUUUUAUUUUAUUUUAUUCUAUUUACCCAUUUUCGUUCUCUUAGCCUUCAAUUUUGUGAACAUUUAAAAAAAUCAUUUAUUUGGAGCGUGGGAACAAUUUCCAAAUUUCUGCACAUUUGUAAAUUUUGUAAUUUGUUUCAGUCCUGGAACAUUUUUCAAGCUGAUGAGUUGUUUCUUGAGAAAUAUUUUUCAAAUUUUACAAAACAAUCUAAAUCCGAGAACAUUUUCAAAAUUCAUGAAUAUUUAUUAAAUUUAGGAAGAUUUUACAAAUUUAUAAAGUUUUUAUGAAAUUGGAAACAGUUUUUUUGGAAUACAUGAAAUGUUUUGGAAAUUCAUGAAAACUUUUUCAAAUCCAGGAAGAUUUCCAAAAUUCUUGAAUUUUAUUGAAUUGAUGAAAUUUUUUCAAAACUGUGAACAUUUUUCGAAGUUGAAAAUGCAGAAAAAAAUAGAAACAAAGAACUUGAAAUAAAAAACGACAAAAACAAUCUGGGGUGCCACGCCGACACAUGGCCCAUUCCAAGGCACGUGGGGUUGCGUGUUUGUGUACUCCCAUGCGGGCAUUCCCUAAACGGCGCCCUCUGCGCCCGAUACAGGCAUCGGCGCAUACGGGCGCACACCCUUCGCUCCUUGACGGGCCAGCCCAUUUUUACUUGUUUUAGUCUUUUUCUAUUAACUUCCAAAAAAAGUGCGUCAAGGAAGCUUCAAACUCUUUCGCUGAGAAGAGAGUAACCUCUUGGACUACUUCACCGCAUAUGUCAACAUUCCGCAUUUUCGCCCUCUUAUUAUUUAUUUAUUUCGCGGAAGUCAGCUUUUUUUUAGUUUUGGAUUCUUUCUGGUGCGGUUUUGUUUUCUUCUUUAUUUUCUUUACUUUUAUUAAAAUUGAUCAAAAAAAUUCAUUUUCUAUGAACUUUUCUCAAAAUUUAUGAACUUCUUAUUUUUUAUCAAAUUUGAUGAACUUUUUUAAAUUCGAUGAACUCUUUUUCUAGAUCGAUGAACUUUUUUAAAAUUUGGAAAAGUUCUUUCAAAAUUGAUGAACCUUUUUCAAUUUUGUAAACUUCCUUUCAAAUUUAUGAAUUACUUCGAUUUUUCUAGAAUUUUUUUUCCAACAGUUGACCGGUCAACCAGGCAACUGUUGACCGGUCAACUUUUUAAUUUUUUAGGCAAACUCUGAUGCUUGGAGCGAACGAGGCAAUCCAGUGAAGGAAGCGAUCGGGUUGGCCCAGUCGCAGGUGUGUGGGCACCAGAAUUGGUAACCGGCGCUAAAGGUGCCUGUUAGGAUGUCCCACAGCGAUGACCUGAUGCUGUGAGCGUGCGUUAGGAAAUUACGCGUAGUCAUUCAUGCCAAAUCCUAUUUAACGCUUGCUGCGUGCGUCCAAGGGCAAAGGUUGUGGGUAGAUGAGCCAGGUCCAUCAGGCAACCUCUCUUACUUUNNNNNNNNNNNNNNNNNNNNNNNNNNNNNNNNNNNNNNNNNNNNNNNNNNNNNNNNNNNNNNNNNNNNNNNNNNNNNNNNNNNNNNNNNNNNNNNNNNNNNNNNNNNNNNNNNNNNNNNNNNNNNNNNNNNNNNNNNNNNNNNNNNNNNNNNNNNNNNNNNNNNNNNNNNNNNNNNNNNNNNNNNNNNNNNNNNNNNNNNNNNNNNNNNNNNNNNNNNNNNNNNNNNNNNNNNNNNNNNNNNNNNNNNNNNNNNNNNNNNNNNNNNNNNNNNNNNNNNNNNNNNNNNNNNNNNNNNNNNNNNNNNNNNNNNNNNNNNNNNNNNNNNNNNNNNNNNNNNNNNNNNNNNNNNNNNNNNNNNNNNNNNNNNNNNNNNNNNNNNNNNNNNNNNNNNNNNNNNNNNNNNNNNNNNNNNNNNNNNNNNNNNNNGAAGUUAUUUCUAGAUACAUAACAGUUUAAAAAUUACACGAAACUUUUUAUUAGUAGGUGUGAACACGUUUUAAAAUUACAUGCAUAUCUUCUGAAAAUGGUGAACAGUUUUUGUAAUUAUAUGAAGAUUUAAGUAAAUUCUUAACCAUCUUGAAAUUAGAUGAAAAAUCAUAUGAACACUUUUUAAAGGCGCAUAAACUUUCCUUUAUUUUACCACUUUCCUUUUUUUAGAUUCUUACCAUUGUAUUUUUUAUUGUUUUCUUUACCACUUGUAUCCAUAUUGUGCUAAUAAUCCUAAUUGACACUUAUUGUGUCAAAUAGGGGCCCAUACCCACAGGUGUGCUUUCAGGCCCAUCAAACAGACUAUUUUCCUUUCAUUUUUCUAGCUUAGCAAGUUUUUCGGGUUUUUUUAUUCAUUAUCCCUAUUUCCUUUUUAUUUAUUUUAUUUUUGUGAGGUAGUCAGGAAUAUGUAGUGGAUUCAACCAAAAGCGGCGUACAUAUAAUUUGUAAGAGAGUUUUCUCAGUAUGUUAUAUCGUUCGGUCGUGUAUUUUGUUUCGCGCUUUAUCUAAUAAAGCGGUGCGAGAGCCUAUUUCAUGGAAUACAAGUUGUGAACUCUCUCUCUCUCUCUCUCUCUCUCUCUCUCUCAUCUAUAAGCAAAACAACAAGCCUGCUCAUUGCACGACCUCUCCAUCGUUCUCAUAGGGAAUAAACGGGCCCACGCCUCACCCUUUGGUGUUGAUUCUCAAGGCGACCCUCUGUUUUUGCUGAUGGACACAAGUAUAGGCUACAACCUUAGGGAUGGGAGGUCGUCGAUAACUUUUUCUAGGCUGAUUCUAGGAAGCCAACUGGUAGCCCAUGAGAGAAGCUCUGAAACAGUUACUUCCUCCGUAAACUAAUAUAAAAGCGUUUAGAAUACUAAAAUAGUGAUCUAAACGCUCUUAUAUUAGUUUACAGAGGGAGUACAAAAUUGAUGUGGAGCAAGGCCAACAACACAACUAUGUGGUGCAGUACAAGUGAGAGAGACAUACAAAAAAAAUGGAGAAACACUCCUCCCUUGUUAUAAUAAUAUAAAUAUUAUACUUAUUUCCUCAAAAACAAAUAUUAUAUUUAUAUUUUUUAGGAUCAAAUAUUAUAUUUAUAUAAAGCCCUAGGAAUAAAAGAACCUAUGGCGGGAGGGCCAUCUAGUAGUAGAUAUAUUAUAAUGAUGAGAAAGAGAAAAUCCGAUCCAUUGGGCCCAAGGGAGGCACGACGGCCUGGAUGGGUGGCUCUUUCGCCGGCUCAGUCUCGCGGCGCGUAGGUAUUGCGACGUAGCAGGUAGGAUUAGUUUUCUGGUUGGGAGGGGGAUUUCAUGACAUUGGGUUUCUAGGGCUUUUCGAGCUACUAAAUUCACCUCCUUCUAAGUGCUGGCUCCAUUAUGAAUUUGGAGGGUCUUUUUUGCGGGAAGAAAUUCGUUUGUUUCGAUGCUGUGGGAAAGAGACGGGGAUUUCAUGCGGGCUUUAGAAACGCUGAGAGAUUUCACCUCCUUGUAAUUUGAAUUGCUGUUGGGCUCAGGAAAGGGAAUAAGAUUUCGUAGUGUGAGGGCGCUGAAAGAAGGAGAACUCACCUCCUUGUAAUUCAAAUAAUUUGAAUUGCUUCUGGUCAUUAGGUUCAGGAAAGGGAAGGGAUUUGGGGAGUAAAAAGCAAAGAACCACCACACUUAUGUUUUAAGAACAUCGUUGCAUUUCUCACCACGCCAGAAAUUUGACGUUGGCAGAAAACUCUAAGAAUAAAAUCUAAUGACUUUGAUGACGUCACAAAUUGGUCUGGCCGUCCCGUCGGCUGAGUUGGACAAAAAACACUGCCAUGGGCCAAAGUAACAUUUUAUCAAACAUGUUAUGUGCAGUCUUCAACCCAAUGAGCAUGCAUCACCGGCAUUCGACGGUGUUGGCUCGAUGUGUUAGAUCAUGUCGUUGGUGGAUGCUGGCUUGUCCUUGUCCAAGGGCUAGUGGGGACAGUAGGAGAUUGAAGGGCCCAACAGGGGAGAAGGCUCCUGGACCUCCAGCCCCUCCCUCUCCUCGUGCAGCAAGCCCUUUGCCGUACCAUCGCACCUCCCAUUCCCCACUACCGCUUUCUCAGCUCCUCCUUCCCACCACCAGCACCUGCCUCCCCCUCCCCGUCCCAGUCACUGUUCAGCAGCGUAGGCUCGCUCCUGCCUAUGAGCGUCACAAUCGUCCUCCUUCGUGACGGCCGCACGCGACGUUGGAUCCCUCGGUGUGGAGCAGCGAGGUGGGAUGUCGGGCUGGCUCCUUUCAUCGUCAGUGGCAUUGAUCCUCCAUGCCAUGCCUUGGCAAGGUUUUGGUGUUGGGGAACGUAGCAGAAAUUCAAAAUUUUCUACGCAACACCAAGAUCAAUCUAUGGAGUAAUCUAGCAACGAGGGGAAGGAGAGUGCAUCUACAUACCCUUGUAGAUCGCUAAGCGGAAGCGUUCAAGUGAACGGGGUUGAUGGAGUCGUACUCGCCGUGAUCCAAAUCACCGAUGAUCCUAGUGCCGAACGGACGGCACCUCCGCGUUCAGCACACAUGCAGCCCGGUGACGUCUCCCAUGCCUUGAUCCAGCAAGGAGAGAGGGAGAGGUUGAGGAAGACUCCGUCCAGCAGCAGCACGACGGUGUGGUGGUGGUGGAGGAGCGUGGCAAUCCUGCAGGGCUUCGCCAAGCACCGCAAGAGACGAGGAGGGAGAGAGGUAGGGCUGCGCCAAGAGGGAGAGAAGCUCAUGUGCUGGGCAGCCCCUAGACCUCAACUAUAUAUAGGGGGAGGAGAGGGGUCUGCGCCCCCUCUAGGGUUCCCACCCCAAGGGGUGCGGCAGCCCCAGAUCCCAUCUAGGGUGGCGGCCAAAGGGGGGAGAGGGGGAGGCGCACCUGGGGUGGGCCUUAGGGCCCAUCUGCCCUAGGGUUUGCCCCCUCCCACUCUUCCCUGUGCCUUGGGCCUUGGUGGGGAGCGCACCAGCCCACCUGGAGCUGGUCCCCUCCCACACUUGGUCCACACAGCCUUCUGGGGCUGGUGGCCCCACCUGGUGGACCCCCGGGACCCUCCCGGUGGUCCCGGUACAUUACCGAUAUCACCCGAAACUUUCCCGGAGACCAAAGUAGGACUUCCCAUAUAUAAAUCUUUACCUCCAGACCAUUCCGGAACUCCUCGUGACGUCCGGGAUCUCAUCCGGGACUCCGAACAACAUUCGGUAACCACGUACAUCUAUUCCCUAUAACCCUAGCAUCAUCGAACCUUAAGUGUGUAGACCCUACGGGUUCGGGAGACACGUAGACAUGGCCGAGACAACUCUCCGGCCAAUAACCAACAGCGGGAUCUGGAUACCCAUGUUGGCUCCCGCAUGUUCCACGAUGAUCUCAUCAGAUGAACCACGAUGUCGAGGAUUCAAUCAAUCCCGUAUUCAAUUCCCUUUGUCUAGCGGUAUAGUACUUGCCCGAGAUUCAAUCGUUGGUAUCCCAAUACCUUGUUCAAUCUCAUUACCGGCAAGUCUCUUUACUCGUUCCGUAACACAUCAUCCCGUGAUCAACCCCUUGGUCACAUUGUGCACAUUAUGAUGAUGUCCUACCGAGUGGGCCCAGAGAUACCUCUCUCUCACACGGAGUGACAAAUCCCAGUCUCGAUUCGUGCCAACCCAACAGACACUUUCGGAGAUACCCGUAGUGCACCUUUAUAGCCACCCAGUUACGUUGUGACGUUUGGUACACCCAAAGUAUUCCUACGGUAUCCGGGAGUUGCACAAUCUCAUGGUCUAAGAAAAUGAUACUUGACAUUAGAAAAGCUUUAGCAUACGAACUACACGAUCUUUUUGCUAGGCUUAGGAUUCGGUCUUGUUCAUCACAUCAUUCUCCUAAUGAUGUGAUCCCGUUAUCAAUGACAUCCAAUGUCCAUGGUCAGGAAACCGUAACCAUCUAUUGAUCAACGAGCUAGUCAACUAGAUGCUUACUAGGGACAUGGUGUUGUCUAUGUAUCCACACAUGUAUCUGAGUUUCCUAUCAAUAUAAUUAUAGCAUGGAUAAUAAACGAUUAUCAUGAACAAGGAAAUAUAAUAAUAACUAAUUUAUUAUUGCCUCUAGCGCAUAUUUCCAACAUUUGGUUCGAUGUCCCUCCGUCUUCUUCUACUCCUCCGGGUCUGGGGAGAAAAAAGUUUGUGCAUUCUUUUUGAAGGAAAUAUGCCCUAGAGGCAAUAAUAAAGUUGUUAUUUAUAUUUCCUUAUAUCAUGAUAAAUGUUUAGUGUUCAUGCUGGAAUUGUAUUAACCGGAAACUUAGUACAUGUGUGAAUACAUAGACAAAACGGAGUGUCCCUAGUAUGCCUCUACUUGACUAGCUCGUUAAUCAAAAGAUGGUUAUGUUUCCUAACCAUAAACAUGUGUUGUCAUUUGAUAAACGGGAUCACAUCAUUAGAGAAUGAUGUGAUGGACUAGACCCAUCCGUUAGCUUAGCAUUAUGAUCAUUACAGUUUUAUUGCUACUGCUUUCUUCAUGACUUAUACAUUUCCUCGGACUAUGAGAUUAUGCAACUCCCGAAUACCGGAUGUCGGAGUAAUGGGCCACGGGUAGGCUAACCCGGGUCCCAGAACCUUUCAAGACAUCGGGGCAGACUGCGCCCCUCAAGUACCUACGGCGACUCCAAGAUGGCCGAAUCCCCAGAGGUGACUCCCGUUCAAGCCGAGUCCAGGAGGCGACUCCAAGACGGCCGAGUCCCAGAGGCGACUCCCGUUCAAGCCGAGUCCAGGAGGCGACUCCAAGAUGGCCGAGUCCCAGAGGCGACUCCCAUUCAGCCGAGUCCCAGAAGCGACUCCGAGGAGGCCGACUGUAGGGAGUCGGCCUGCGACUUCCAACCACCCCGAUAAAUUAAAGACAGGCAUGGCCACAGUGCGCCGUACUCCCGCGGAGAUCUCCGCCCGGCGCGGCACUGUUGCCAUGCCAGCCCUGACAUCAGCCCUUGGGGCGGGGCUUUGUGCCCACGACGCCUUGUCUGUACGGCCUGGAGAUGGCAGGACCUACCAAUCAGCGAGAGUAUUGAAGACGGCGGGAGCGCCGAGAGUCGGACCCAUUGGGAGUCGGCCCCCCCGAAGCCGGUCGGCCCCUCCCAUGGGCCCCACACGCCAUUAAACCAGAUGAGACCGGGGAAUGGCCACAGUGAUCGCCCGCAGGCGGCGGCACUGUUGCCAUGACCCACCGACCAAGCCCGCGUCAUUAGAAGCACGGCUACAGUAACCCGCAGCCAGCAAGACCCGCCCGCGGCGGGCACGGGCUGACGCCCUCGUACCAGGCCAGUCGGCGGGACCCACCAGUCGGCGGGCCCCAGGAGUUGGCGGAGAAGACGGCACCUGAUAAACAGACGGCUGGGACCCGCGCCUAGCUGGAUUUACCAUUGUAACCCUGGGGGGUAGGCCUAUAUAAACCCCCCAGGGCACCCAUGCAAAGGGUUCGCACCUAGUAGCAUUAGACAGAACACAUCGGAGGGAGAGAGCUAGCCUUGCCUUCUCCUUCUCCCAGAAACAGCUCUAGGAGCACCCUUGUAUUCACCUUGCCUUAGUGAUCAUGCGGAGACCCCGCAGAGAAGCAGUAGGGGUGUUAUCUCCUCGGAGAGCCCUGAAGCUGGGAAAGAUCCGCCGGCGUGCAUGUCUUCGCCUCAUCCCGUUUCCAGGCACCGGCGAUGUUCUACUCGCCCCCACCAUGAUAAGCCAUCCUUUGGCAUAUGUCGCACCCAACCCUCGACAUUUGGCGCCCACCGUGGGGCCUGAUGCACCGUCGUCCGGAGAUCUGUUCUGGACGGGAACCCUCUUCCUCCCUGGCGAGCGCAGCCAGCCAGGCUCACCAGAUGAAGUCUGCAUCGACGCGCUGCACGGCGCUGAGGCCGCCUGUGCAGCGAGCAGCCUCGCCGAACUUGUCGGCGAGGUUCGACUUUCCGACGAGCAUGCAUCCGAUGCAGGCACGGGUGGCCCCGAGAGUCUCCUCGCGGGCCUCCUCGACCAACUCCACGUCGCCGGCAAGCCUGCCGUGGACUUGGAGUCCGUAGGCUCCACCGACCCGAUGCUGGUCGACUCCGACACCGUGUCACUUGACACUUUCCCCACCAACGUGGUCGUCUACGACGAGCCGCUUCCUCACGAGCAGAGCGGCGGAAGCACCGUCACGGAGGUGCUCGUCAUCAGUCACGAUGAGCGCUCCGGUGAAGAAGCUCAGGACCCGCUCGCCGCGGCCCUGCAAGACCUAACUGCGCCCAUUCCGAAGGACGCAGACGCCGAGACGCUGGAGACCCGCCGCCUUCAGAUCAUCGAAGGCGCCAAGAGGCUGGCGAGCAUGAGGCGCUUGUCAGAAGCCUACCAGCGUGAAAUGGAUCGUGCCGUGGGCGGCUCGCCGGCUCCGACUGGGCCGAGCCGCCUAGGUGCGGUCCGGCAACGCGGCGCGACAAUCGCUGACUUGUUCGGGGCUAAAUGCCCCGUAUACGCCACCCCUGCGGAGAACAUCCGCGCCGCCCAAGCGGCGACUGACGAGCUGAAGAACUUCGAGGGCGAAGAGUGCCGCAUGAUGAUGGAGUGAGUCCAGCAGCUCCUCGACGCAGUUGCUGCGCAGAACGCGGCCGGCGGCCGCGCGGAUGCGAUGCAGCAACCGAAUGACGACUUGCCUCCCCGCCGAGAUCAAGGCGCAACAUCUCGGACGCCGACUGGCGGAGUCCGCGGAAGGAAAGAAAAAGAGCAGGCUGUCAGUCACAGUCGGACUCGCAUCACCAUUGAGCGCGACCAAGACGGCCGGCCAAGAGCAGUGGAGCGGCGGGACGACUACCUGCCUCCCCCACCCAGAAGAGAAUGGCGAGUUUCCCCGCCGCCUAUUGAGCAUCCGACUCUCGGUGGCCGCCUUGGCCGCCGAGAGGGGGUCGGAGAAAACGACGCCCGCCAUCGGAUCGACCGACUCCACCGAUCCCUGGCGCUGGAAGAAGAAGACGAGCUGGGUCCGCCUUGCUUUGGACCCCGCAUCCGAGACGAGCCCUUCCCCAAAGGGUUCACGCUCCCCCGAGACACACCCAAGUACACCGGCUCCAUGAAGCCGGAAGACUGGCUGAUUGAUUACUCCACGGCCGUCAGUAUAGCGAACGGCAACAAGCGGGUUGCCGUGAAGUACGUUCCACUCAUGCUCCAGGGCACGACCCGGACAUGGUUGAACAGUCUGAAGCCCCGCAGCAUCAACAGCUGGGUCGACUUCACCGAAGCCUUCAUCCGCAACUUCACGAGCACGUACAAGCGACCUCCCAAGCCACGCCAGCUUUCCUUGUGCGUGCAAGGCCCUGAUGAGUCAACACGCGACUACCUCACGCGCUGGGGCGAGCUUCGGAACUCCUGCGAGGGCGUGCACGAGGUGCAGGCUAUCGAGUACUUCACCGCCGGGUGCCGAGAAGGCACCCUCCUCAAGCACAGGCUCCUCUGCGACGAGCCAGAAACCCUCGACGAACUGCUGGUCAUAGCAGACAAGUACGCCACAGCCGACUCCUCCAUGAAGACAGAGAUUCAAGUCAAUGCGGCUGGCAAAGUGGCCCCUCAGGCUCCCAGAACUCCAGCUGGAGACACCAGUCGGUGACAACAACAGAGCGACAACAAAUGCAAGGCCCAACAGCCGACUUCCAAUAGUCGGCAGGUUGCAACGGUCGAAGAUCAACAGCCGGAGGUGCAGCCUCCGGCCAAACGGCAGAAAGGCGGCAAAUCCAUUGGUUGCCGGCCUUUUCCUAUGAGCAGACUCUGGAUGGUCCCUGCAAGUUCCACAGUGGCGCGAAGCCAUUAAAUCAUACUACCCGAAAGUGCCACUGGCUCACCAGAAUCGCCAAGGGAGACGGCCUCCUUCCCCCUCCGCCUGCUGGGCCGCCGCCCCAGUAGCCGGCUGCUCGGCCAGUCGGUGCAGUGCAAGACGAGUACCCAGAAGAGCACGGAUCCUAUGUGGUGUUCACCAGUGUGGCUGAUGAUCGGCGCAGUAGACGGCUGCAGCAAAAAGAAGUAAAUGCAGUGGCAACAGACACUCCAGAGUUUAUGCAUUGGUCCGAGAAGCCUAUUAGUUGGAGCAGAGCGGAUCACCCAGAGAUGAUGCCGAAUCCGGGCUCCUAUGCCCUGGUCCUAAGUGCCACCUUGGCCACUGAUAGGCGAGCAGCCCGCUUCUCGAGAGUGCUGAUAGACGGAGGCAGUAGCAUCAACAUCCUGUACAAAGAUACUAUGGAGAAGCUAGGAAUCAAGCAAAGACAGCUGCAGAGCAGCCGGACCGUGUUCCAUGGUAUUGUACCCGGCCUUUCCUGCUCACCAAUCGGCAAGAUCCUGAUAGAUGUCCUCUUUGGAGACAAAGAUCAUUUUCGCCGAGAGCCAGUCUGGUUUGAAGUAAUGGACCUUGAAAGCCCGUACCACGCGCUGCUUGGCCGACCUGCAUUGGCCAAGUUCAUGGCGGUUCCUCACUACGCCUACCUCAAGAUGAAGAUGCCGAGCUCCAAGGGAAUUUUGACCGUAGCCGACGACUACAGGAAGUCGUCCACCUGCGCGGCCGAGAGCAGUCGGCUGGCCGAGUCCCUGGUGAUCGCAGCUGAGAAGCGGCUCCUUGAUCGGGUCGUGGCGAUGGCCGAAAAACAGCCAGAAAUGUCGCCUGACCCCAAGGUGUCAGAAGCUGAAGGUUCGUUCAAGCCGGCCAAAGAGACCAAGAAGAUACUCUUGGACCCGGAGCACCCAGAGAGGUACGCUGUCAUGGGUACAAACCUUGACAGUAAAUAGGAAGGCGAGCUUGUCGAUUUCCUCCAUGAGAAUCGAGACAUCUUUGCAUGGUCCCCCAAAGACAUGCCAGGUGUACCAACGGAAUUCACCGAGCACAAGCUGCAUGUCAGGCCGGAUGUGAAACCCGUCAGGCAGCCCUUGUGCCGCCUGUCAGAAGAGAAGAGAAGAGUUGUUGGAGAAGAGAUAGCCCGGCUUCUCGCAGCCAGCUUCAUCAUGGAAGUGUUUUUUCCAGAGUGGCUGGCAAACCCGGUUUUGAUACUGAAGAAAAACAAGCAGUGGCGGAUGUGCGUUGAUUACACAAGCCUCAACAAAGCCUGCCCAAAGGAUCCAUUUGCCCUGCCAAGAAUCGAUCAGGUGAUAGACUCCACAGCCGGAUGCGAGCUGUUAAGUUUCUUAGAUGCAUAUUCAGGAUAUCACCAGAUCAAGCUGAACCCGGCAAACAGACUGAAGACCGCCUUCAUCACGCCGUUUGGAGCCUUCUGCUACCUGACUAUGACGUUCGGCUUGAGGAAUGCUGGCGCCACCUUUCAGCGCUGCAUGUAGAAGUGCCUCCUCAAGCAACUCGGCAGGAAUGCCCAUGUCUACGUGGAUGAUGUGGUGGUGAAGACGGAGAAGCGUGGGACGCUGCUGGAAGACCUCAAGGAAACCUUUGAGAACUUGCGCCGGUUCCAGAUCAAGCUCAACCCUGAGAAGUGCGUUUUCGGAGUACUAGCCGGCCAACUCCUUGGCUUCCUGGUCUCUGAACGCGGCAUAGAGUGCAAUCCCGUGAAGAUCAAGGCCAUCGAGAGAAUGGACGUACCCAGCCGACUGUUAGAUAUGCAGAAGUUCACCGGCUGCUUGGCGUCCAUCAGCCGAUUCAUCAGUCGGCUGGGCGAGAAGGCUCUCCCUUUGUAUCAAUUGAUGAAGAAGACCACCUUUUUCGAGUGGAAUCACAAGGCGGAUGAAGCGUUUCUCCAGCUGAAGAAGAUGUUGACUACUCCCCCUGUGUUGGCGGCUCCAACUCCUAAAGAGCCCAUGCUCCUGUACAUCGCCGCCACCAGCCGAGUAGUCAGCAUAGUCAUUGUAGUCGAACGCAAAGAGAAAGGCAAGGCGCUCCCUGUCCAGAGACCGGUAUAUUACCUAAGCCAAGUACUGUCGACCUCCAAGCAGAACUACCCCCACUACCAGAAGAUGUGCUACGGUGUGCAUUUUGCCGCCAAGAAGCUGAAGCCUUACUUUCAAGAGCAUCCAAUCACUGUGGUUUGCACGGCCCCGCUGGCCAAGAUCAUUGGAAGCCGAGACGCCUCUGGCCGAGUGGCCAAAUGGGCCAUAGACCUGGCUCCUUACACCAUCUACUACCAGCCCCGCACCGCCAUCAAGUCGCAAGCACUGGCCGACUUCCUCGUCGACUGGGCCGAGACCCAGUACCUGCCACCAGCGCCCGACUCCACCCAUUGGCAGAUGCAUUUCGACGGCUCCAAGAUGUGUGCCGGCCUGGGAGCCGGCGUCGUCCUCGCCUCCCUCAAAGGCGACAAGCUCAAGUAUGUGUUGUAGAUCCACUUCGCCGCCUCCAACAACAUCGCCGAAUACGAGGCGCUCAUUCACGGACUCCGGCUUGCCAAAGAACUUGGCAUUCGCCAGAUUCUGUGCUAUGGCGACUCCGAUUUGGUGGUCCAGCAGUCAUCUGGUGACUGGGACGCCAAAGAUGCAAACAUGGCGAGCUACCGUUUCCUGGUGCAGCAGCUCAGCGGAUACUUUGAGGGGUGCGAGUUCCUUCACGUGCCAAGAAACGACAACGAUCAAGCAGACGCCCUAGCACGAGUCGGCUCCACCCGCCAAGCAAUACUGUUCGGUGUCGCUCUUCAGCACCUCAUUAGGCCGUCCAUCAAGCCUUCACCAGAAUUAGAUUCCAUCUUUGUGCCGGCUCCUCCCGAAGAAGUCGGAUCCGACUCAAGAGCCCCAGCAGACGGCCCCAAGAAAAUUACAGUCGAAGCCAGCCCGGGGACUUCAGAACCCGGCCCGGGGACUGCGCCAGUCGGCCCGGAGACUGCGCCAGUCGGCCCGGAGACUGCGCCAGUCGGCCCGGGGACUUCGUCAAUCCAGCAAGCGGCCGUAGACUCCAGCCCGCCGCCUCCCGGCCCAGCCACCCUUGUCCAAGUCGCUGUGGUGGCGGUUGAAGAAAUAGCAGCACCCUCAAGGGUGCAGCCCAUCCUCAAGUUUCUAGUGAACAGAGAGCUGCCAACUGAUGAGAUCUUGGCUCGGCAAGUGCAACGCUGAGCGGCAGCAUACACCAUAAUCAACAGAGAGCUGGUCAGGCACAGUGUCACUGGUGUCUACCAGCGCUGCGUAGAGCCAGAACAAGGCCAAGCAAUUCUCAGAGACAUUCAUCAGGGCGAGUGCGGCCACCAUGCGGCUUCAAGGGCACUCGUCGCCAAAGCCUUUCGGCACGGUUUCUUCUGGCCGACUGCCCUGGAAGAGGCUAAAGAGUUAGUCCAAAAAUGCAAGGGGUGCCAGAAGUUCCGCUCCAAGCCACUUCAGCCGGCUUUCGCGCUGAAGACGAUCCCCAUCGCCUGGCCCUUUGCAGUUUGGGGCCUGGACAUGGUGGGACCAUUCAAGACGGCCCGAGGCGGCCUAACUCAUCUGCUUGUCGCGGUGGACAAGUUCACCAAGUGGAUAGAAGCAAAGCCCAUCAAGAAGUUGAACGGUCCGACUACAGUGACUUUCAUCGCCGACAUCACGGUGCGGUACGGCAUACUGCACAGCAUCAUCACCGACAACGGCACAAAUUUCGUCAAAGGCGCCUUGGCCUGUUUCUGCGCGACACAGGGCAUCCGACUGGACUUAGCGUCCGUUGCCCAUCCGCAGUCAAACGGCCAGGUGGAGCGAGCAAACGGCCUCAUCCUGUUCGGCAUCAAGCCUCGACUGGUCGAACCACUCGAACGUUCGGCCGGCUGUUGGCUUGAGGAGCUGCCAGCCGUCCUCUGGAGUCUGCGUACGACUCCAAACAAGUCAACUGGCUUCACGCCUUUCUUCCUCGUCUACAGUGCCGAAACCGUCAUCCCGACGGACAUAGAGUUCGACUCUCCACGAGUUACCAUGUACACCGAAGAGGAAGCUGAAGAGGCACGUCAAGACGGUGUCGACCUGCUGGAAGAGGGCCGGCUGUUGGCACUCAGCCGGUCCGGCAUCUACCAGCAGAGUCUGCGCCGAUACUACAACCGAAAGGUCAGGCCGAGAUCGUUUCAAGAGGGCGACCUUGUGCUCCGACUGAUUCAGCGAACAGCCGGCCAGCACAAGUUGUCGGCGCCUUGGGAAGGCCCCUUCAUCAUCAGCAAAGUGCUGGGCAAUGGCUCCUACUACCUAAUCGACGCUCAGAAGCCUCGAGCGCGCAAGAGGGACGACUCCGGCAAGGAGUCAGAACGGCCAUGGAACGCAAAUCUCCUCCGAAGAUUUUACAGUUAAUGCAGUAUGUACCACACUAUCCUUUGUGUUAAAAUAUCGAGACUUUGGGCCCCCGAGACGAGCUCCGGGACUGCCCUUUUUUGUUAUCUGUAUGAUAAGAAUUAUGCCUCCGAGUAUGCUACUCUUUUGUCAUGCCGCUUGGCACCGGGUUCGACUAGUCGACCCGGGGACUUGCCGUCUUGCGCUAUGAAAUGCUUCCUGCAGUCGGACAAGUAGUGUGUUGCGCUUAAGCCGUCUCCUGUCGAAAGCCGCAGCUCGCAGAGCGACUGUUGGUAGGCAGAGAAUAAGCAAGAACGAGCGCACGCAUGAAAAAAUGGCUAAGGACUCAAAGCGUAUGCAUAGCCCAAGCCGGCUCCCAGCCUCCCUCUGCGGAGCCGACUCUCGAAUAGUCGGCUCACCGCCUUCUAUCCCACUUGUUAAAAAACUCUAAAAAGGCGAAGUACUUGCCUUCCCUAUAGUAGCCAAGCAUUUGACGUGCGGCAGUCCGCGGAGCGACUGUCCGUCUGGCAAAGCAGCGACUAUGGAAAGGCGGCAAAGGAAAAAGCCAAAAAGAGCAAUAAGCAAGGAAAGAUAGAAGGCAGAUAGAUAUUUACAUAAGCAAAGGCCUCUGGCCGAGUUCAAAAUACACCCCGUGGGUGGAAUUGUGCAAAUUAACAAGUACUUCAAAGACUAUGAAAACAGAUAAAGUAAGGACAAGACGAUAGCCUAAGGAGCGGCAGACGGGUCGGCGGAGACAGCGGUGUCAGGCGCCGGAGCGGCCGGCUGGACGGUCUCGGCUUGAUCGCCUCCGGCGGCAGUCGGCCCAGUCGGACGCGGCUCGUUGCUGGAGGCGCGAUCGAGCUAAGGCUGGUCUUCCGCUCGGCCUUCUGGCGCCUCCGUCUCGUCUCCAUCCCUCGCCUCGUCUUCCUCCUCGGUGCUGGAGCCGAUCACCUCCACCGAGCCCUCCUCGUAGUCGGGGUUCAUCCUGAACCACUCCGGAGGCACCUCCUCGCCGUUCGCGGUCCGCUCGGGAACGAAGACGCUGGUGUCGGUGUAGUCGGUGAUCGCCGCCGCACGCUCAAUGAGGGCGCCUUCCACAGCCGCCAGUUCUGCCUGGGCCUCUGACCGGAACGCGGCCAGCCGGUCCAGGUCCAGCCCUGGAUACCAAGCCUUGACGAAUUCCAAGGCCCGGCGCGCUCCAGCCCAGGCCGAGGAACCUUUCCAAGCCUCAAGACGGCCAGCCGUGACCUCCAGCCAGUCGGCAGUUCGACUGGCAGUGCGCAGAGCCGGCAUGCCCGGCCACAGGGCAAAAAUCGCCUGGGCCCCGGCACGUUGAAGCCGGCGCAGCAGCUGAUGGGCCGGCCGCAGACGAGUCUCGAUGCUCAAGAGCUGCUCGUCGACGGUUAGGGGGGCGUUGGCAGCGAUCUCCUCGCCGUUCGCCCUCCGCGCCUCGUGAUCAACCUCGAUGGCUUGAGUGACCGCUUGCGAGUGGCCAGGGAAGAAGUCUGCCCAAAACAGAAAGAAGCAAAAAGGAAAUCAGUAGUCGGCCUGACUUGCAGUCAGCAGCUCAAGGAAAGAAGGGAAAGAAACUCACCAUCGACAAUGUCCUCGAUCUCGUGGAAGCCGGAAGUCAGCAUCGCCUCCCUGUCGGUCCAGGAGGAGCGCUCCAUCUCGAACUCGGCCAGAAGAGCGGUCUCUUUCUUCCCCGCCUCGUCCCAAGCCAUCUUCAGCAGCUCCUUCUGCUCCGCCAGCUGCUCGGCCAGCAAGUCGCGCUCUUUGGCGAGCUUGCCGCACUCCUCCUCCUUGGCGCGAAGGGCCGUGCUGACUUCUCCCAACUGUUCCUGAAGAGCGGCAUUGGCCUCUGAAUAGCAAAGGGAAAAGACGUUAAGUCGUCUGCAGCAAAGGUCACCGGGAAGAUCCGGCCCGACUGCUCAGCAGUCGGCCCGAAUCUCGGGGACUACAACCCACGGGUGCGCCAGCGCGCCCUCGCGGAAAAGAAGAAGAACUUACUCCGGCUCUCCGACAAGUCGGCAGUCUGCUUCUCCAGCCGCUCAACGUUAUGGUUGUAGGCGGUGACACGGAGGUUGUGGUACUCCUGCGAUAAAAAAUCAGACAAAGACAAAAAUGAGGAACUCGCCAGAUUGAGUUCCGGGCCGCCUACGCAGCAGCCGGCCCGAAACUCGGGGACUACACCCAGUGGGUGCACCGGCGCGCCCCCAUAGAGAAGAACAAGAAAAGGCAAAGUCAAAGAAGAAAAACAACUCGGAUAGACGCCCGCGACGCCAGAUGCACCCUAGUGCAGCCCUGGAUGGCUUCUCCUUCAGCUCGCAGCUUCGCCUGCCCAUCCAGGAGCGCCUGGUUCAGCGGACCGUCGCUGCCUCCUCGCACCCAUCCAGUAGGCGCAGCACUUGAUGCCUCAGCAUCUGGAAUGGCCGAGCUGGCGGCGCCGGCUUCCAAGGGGCGCGGCGCCGAGACCACCUUCGCAAGACGGCGGCGCGCCGGUGAGGCGACUUGGAGAAGCAUCCUCGCCACCGCCUCGUCCUCAGCCGGUGGCACUGGAGGGCCCGCCGGCUGCUUGCCAUGCGGCAGAGGCAGCGGUGGCGGCGAGGCCAUGCCCGACGCAGAGGCCUCACCUCCGUCCCUCUCCGUGAUGGAGUGCUCCCCGCCGACUUCCCCAGUCUACGCCGUGAACUCCGGGGGCGGCGGCGCGGAGCUCAGCGAGACGACAAGCAGCGCCGACUGGUGGCACGCGGCCUCCUCGGCCCACCGUUUGGCCGCGGCGGCGGCUUCGGCCCCCUCCAUCUUCUUCUGGGCAGAGGCCGCCGCCUUCUCGGCCUCCGCCUUCUCCAGGCGGUCGGCCUCUUCUUCGUCGCGCUUCUCCUGCGCGUUGCGCUCCGUCGCCUCCCGGAGGUCGGUGGCGGGGUUAAUCCGCCGGGUGUUGGCGGAUGUCUCGGCCGACCCCAUGAUAGAGGGGACGGCGACCCUCUCAAGAGAAAGAGGGGCCCUGAAGCAGAAAACAGAAUGAAAAAGACUCGGAACAGAUCCGUCGAAAGAAACAAGAACAAACGAUAGUCAGCACUUACGCAGAGACCAGCGGCGGCUUCUUCACUUCCUUGCGGAAGCGGUUGGCCUUGCGACCGCCUCCUCCCGCUUGGUCGCGGCGGCCGCCCCCUUGAACUUUUUCGGCCGACUGCCGAGCGAGCUCGGCGCGGCCCGGCGCUUCUUUGCGCCGACUUGACCGGCCAAGCCGGCGGAGGAACUCGCGCCUAGAUGGCCGGCUUUUGGUUGGCGGCACGGGAUGACCUCGCCGUCGCCCUCGUCCUCCGGCCAGUCGGCGAACGUCGCCGAGGGCCGGAGUCCGCCUUCCGCUCCUCCUCCCCCGCCUUCGGCGUCGGCUUCCAUUGCCGCCGCCCCCAAGUCGGGGUCGUCGAUGUCGCUCUCUGCGCGGUAUGGAGCGAACUCGCGGGGCUGCUCGGUGGCGCCGGCAGCAAGCUGGAUGAGGGGGUUCUGACUCAGAGAAUCAAGAAGAUCAGAAGUCGGAUUCGGCUAUGAAGAAAAACAGAAACAAAAGAUUCGACUUACCACAGGCGGGGGGUUGGCACGUGAGUACGGCUCCCUGCCGAACUGCCAGUCUUCUGCGAGCUCGCAGUUCGCGAUGUGGUUCACCAUGUUUGCCACCUCCACGUGGGGCAUCUCCCAGGUGCUCAUCCGGCUCGAGUCUCGGCGGUCGCUCAUCUGACAGAUCAGAUGAGGUCGGCCUUGGAGAGGGAGGACUCGGCGCGCCACGAAGGCGGCCAGCAAGUCAGCCCCGACCAGGCCUUCCGACUGCGUCAGCACUCGGAGUCGGGCGACGGCGGCGGUGCCGGCAGGAGACAGCGUCUUGGCCCGAUUCGACCAGCUGGGAAGCCUCCCAGCCGGUACGCCGGCUUCAUAGUGCGGCAGGUUGACCCAGUCACCUUCUGUGGCGACGUUCUUCACGUAGAAGUACGAACGUUGCCACAUCUUCACCGACUUGAUCAGCGCGAUUAAGGGGAAGGGGUUGUCGGCGGUCGACCUACGCAUGGCGAUGAAGGCGCCGCACUAGGCCGGUAUGCCGGCGACGUGCGUGUCGAGCUUCGACUGGAAGAACUCUCCCCACAACUCGAGGGUGGGGAGAACACCGAGAAAACCCUCGCACAGGGUGGCGAAGGCGGCCAGCAGCACCACCGUGUUCGGGGUGAGGUGGUGCGGCUGGAGUCCGUUGAACUCCAAGAACGAGCGGAGGAAGCCGCUCGCCGGCAGGCCCAUGCCGCGCAUGAGGUACGAGCAGAAUAUGACCCGCUCGCCCUCCUCCGGCGCCGGUGUUAUCUCCCCCUCCGGUGCGGCGCGAGCUCGCACCAGGUGCGCACCGGGGAGCCGGCGUGUCCUUCGGAGGUGCUCGAUGGCGUCAUCCACCUGGGAACCAUCCCACGCGCCGGAGCGGACAGCAGAGGCCGCAGAGGAGGAAGAGCUCAUCGCGGCGGAGCGGUGCGGCGUGGUGCGGCGAAGGCAGGAAGAAGGAGAGGAAAGAGGAAGCAUGGAAGAACGAGCGCGUGCUUCGCCGUCCCGCUUCCCCCGCCUAUUUAUAGUCUCAAAGGCUGAGAAGCCGAUGGGGCGGCGUGGGGAUUAACUGCGCGCGAGCCCCCACGCCCCCCACGAUUAAACCCAUGAAGUUACUGCACGCAGUAACAACGUGGGGAGCCCAACCGCCCGCCCGGUCGCAGCGGAUCCGCUCGCGUGCCGAGGCGCGGUAGUGGCGGGCCCCGCCUGAUAGCCUGUCCCAUCGCGCGCAUGGGCAGGCAGACUGCCCCUGCCACGUGGCCCCGCACGACGGGGCCGCAACGGGCGACCACGGGAAGCGUAUCAGGCACGCCGCCUGGUUCCCGCCACGACGUUCGGAACACCUCAAGGGGCAAGACGGCUCUCGGCGAAUCCGACUCCAGCCAGUCGGCUUGAGCGUGACGGCUCACAGAGAAUCCGACUCCAGCCAAUCGACUUGGAGGAAGGUGGCCAUCAAAGCUUGCUUUCCCCCAUCUAAAGAAUGAAACUGCCGAGGCACACGACGUAUCAACCUUGGAGCCUCGCCAGCUUCGAGGACUACUGUCGGAGUAAUGGGCCACGGGUAGGCUAACCCGGGUCCCAGAACCUUUCAAGACAUCGGGGCAUACUGCAACCCUCAAGUACCUACGGCGACUCCAAGAUGGCCGAGUCCCCAGAGGCGACUCCCGUUCAAGCCGAGUCCAGGAGGCGACUCCAAGACGACCGAGUCCCAGAGGCGACUCCCGUUCAAGCCGAGUCUAGGAGGCGACUCCAAGAUGGCCGAGUCCCAGAGGCGACUCCCAUUCAGCCGAGUCCCAGAAGCGACUCCGAGGAGGCCGACUAUAGGGAGUCGGCCCGUGACUUCCAACCACCCCGAUAAAUUAAAGACAGGCAUGGCCACAGUGCGCCGUACCCGCGGAGAUCUCCACCCGGCGCGGCACUAUUGCCAUGCCAGCCCUGACAUCAGCCCUUGGGGCGGGGCUCUGUGCCCACGACGCCUUGUCUGUACGGCCCGGAGACGGCGGGACCUACCAAUCAGCGAGAGUAUUGAAGACGGCGGGAGCGCCGAGAGUCGGACCCGUUGGGAGUCGGGCCCCCCGAAGCCGGCUGGCCCCUCCCACGGGCCCCACACGCCAUUAAACCAGAUGAGACCGGGGAAUGGCCACCGUGAUUGCCCGCAGGCGGCGGCACUGUUGCCAUGACCCACCGACCAAGCCCGCUUCAUUAGAAGCACGGCUACAGUAACCCGCAGCCAGCAAGACCUGCCCGCGGCGAGCACGGGCUGACGCCCUCGUACCAGGCUAGUCGGCGGGACCCACCAGUCGGCGAGACCCACCAGUCGGCGGGCCCCAGGAGUUGGCGGAGAAGAUGGCACCUGAGAGACAGACGGCUGGGACCCGUGCCCAGCCGGAUUUACCAUUUUAACCCUGGGGGGUAGGCCUAUAUAAACCCCCCAGGGCACCCAUGCAAAGGGUUCGCACCUAGUAGCAUUAGACAGAACACAUCGGAGGGAGAGAGCUAGCCUUGCCUUCUCCUUCCCCCAGAAACAGCUCUAGGAGCACCCUUGUAUUCACCUUGCCUUAGUGAUCAUGCGGAGACCCCGCAGAGCAGCAGUAGGGGUGUUAUCUCCUCGGAGAGCCCUGAAGCUGGGUAAGAUCCGCCGGCGUGCAUGUCUUCGCCUCAUCCCAUUUCCAGGCACCGGCGAUGUUCUACUCGCCCCCAUCAUGAUAAGCCAUCCUUUGGCAUAUGUCGCACCCAACCCCCGACACCGGACGAACACCUUGUGUGCUAUCAAACGUCACAACGUAACUGAGUGAUUAUAAAGAUGCUCUACAAGUGUCUCCGAAGGUGUUUUUUUGGUUGGCAUAGAUUAAGAUUAGGAUUUGUCACUCUGUGUUUCAGAGAGGUAUCUCUGGGCUCUCUCGGUAAUGCUUGUCACUAUAAGCCUUGCAAGCAAUGUGACUAAUGAGUUAGUUACGGGACUGAGCAUUACAGAACAAGUAAAGAAACUUGCCGGAAUGAGAUUGACCUAAGUAUGAUGAUACCAACGAUCGAAUCUCGAGCAGGUAACAUGCCUAUGACAAAGGGAACAACGUAUGUUGUUGUGCGGUUUGACCGAUAAAGAUCUUUGUAGAAUAUGUAGGAACCAAUAUGAGCAUUCAGGUUCCACUAUUGGUUAUUGACCGGAGAUAUGUCUUGGUCAUGUCUACAUAGUUCUCGAACCCGUAGGGUCCGCACGCUUAACGUUUGAUGACGAUUUGUAUUAUGAGUUAUGUGAUUUGAUGACCGUAGUUUGUUCGGAGUCCCGAAUGAGAUCACGGACAUGACGAGGAGUCUCGAAAUGGUCGAGACAUAAAUAUUGAUAUAUUGGACAAUGUUAUUCGGACACCGGAAGAGUUCCGAGAGGUACCGCGUAAAAACGGAGUGCCGGAGGGGUUACCGGAACCCCCCGGGGAAGCAAUGGGCCAACAUUGGCCAUAGGGGAGAGAGAGGGCAGCCCGCAAGCGGGUGGUGCGCUCCCCCCAUGGGGAGUCCGAAUAGGACUAGGGGAGGGGGCGCGGCCCCCCUUUCCCUCCCCCUCUCCCUCUCCCUUCCUUCCUCCCCCUUCCACCAUGUGGAAUCCUACUAGGACUUGGAGUCCUAUAGUAGGACUCCCCCCUCUUGGAGCGCCCUACAAGGCCGGUCGUCCUCCCCCUCUCCUCCUUUAUAUACGGGGGCAAGGGGGACCCCAAAGCACAACAUACAAUCUCUUAGCCGUGUGAAGUGCCCACUCCACAGUUUAACACCUCGGUCAUAUCGUCAUAGUGUUUAGGCGAAGCCCUGCGCCGGUAACUUCAUCAUCACCAUCACCAUGCCAUUGUGCUGACAGAACCCCCCCUCGUCCUCAACUAGAUCAAGAGCACGAAGGACAUCAUCAUGUUGAACGUGUGCUGAACAUGGAGGUGUCGUACGUUCAGUACUUCGAUCGGUUGGAUCGUGAAGACGUUCGACUACAUCAACCACGUUACUAAACGCUUACACUGUCGGUCUACGAGGGUACAUGGACACACUCUCCCAUCUCGUUGCUAUGCAUCUCCUAGAUAGAUCUUGCAUGAUCGUAGGAAUUUUUUUGAAUUACUACGUUCCCCAACACUUUUGUCAUUUGCUCACACCUUUAGUUCGGUGUCUCCCCCACCUAGGGUGCACUUGACAAUGACCCCCGCUCACCACACGCUCAUUGGCACCAAUGUGUCCGCCUUCAUGUUGUGUGCCUUAGAUUUGGCGCAAGGUGAGGCCGACGAAGGGGUGGAAUGCCGGGAUGGUGAACCCUGCGGGUGAAGAGGGGUUGUGGCUGGAGGGGCGACCUUCAGCUGGGGCGGGGCAACAACAACUUGCUGGCUUUGGUGGUGGAUGUCAUGCAUGGAAGAAACCGUGGGUGGCGCGAGGUCCUGGUGCAGCCGAUGUGCGAGAGAAGGAGGCAACUAAGGUGCUCAUGUGCGAAGUGGAGGGGCGGACAUGGCGGCCUGGACUCGCCGGCCGGCGAGGGGUGCCGAAGUGAUCUGCUGCUACUCUCUCUAAUGCACAUGAUGUGCUCGGUGUAUUGCCAGACAAAGAGGAGGAGAAGGAGGAGGAGGAAGACCAAGUCAACUAGUCUACGUGGCACUUUUUUCUAAUCGGCCUGAUGGGUGGGCCCAACCGAUUAAUCGCGUGAGCAAACACUUGGCAUUAACCAUCAGUGUUUUCUAUCACUACCAAUAUUUCAGCGUGGUGAGAAGUGCACUGAUUUCUAAAGUGGUGGUUUUUUGCUAAUCACGUCGCAAAUGUGGUGGUUUUUUGUUUUUUACUCAAUUUGGUGAUAUUGAGAGUGAGGGCAUUGCGCUGAAAGAAAGAAGAAGAUUCACCUCUUCUAAUUUUAAUUCUAAUAUUGGUUGUUAUGUUCAGGAAAUGGAAGGGUGUUUCAUGAGAUUGGAGUGUGAGGGUGCUGAAAGAAAUAAUUAAUUUCAUCACAAACCAUAGAAACAACUUGUCAUUUAUUUUAUUCAUUCAUUCUUUCCUUCCUUCAUCCAUCCAUGGAUAAAAGUUGUGAGCUCUCUCUCUCUCUCUCCCAUCACAACAUACUAGAUUGUUGCUAGAACUAACAGCAUGGGUAGCGCGGAGCUCUGUACGUCUUGACGGGCUCCCACCCGGCAGGAAUGUAGCCCUUAUACAGCGUGAAGUUUGCAGGCUGAGAGCGUCUGAAUGUGUCGGUGUAUUCGAUUGUGAUAUAGAGUUGAGCCUGCGAGAGCAGAGCGCAGACACAGUCUUGUGUUCCAAGCCAGUCGGGUUUGAUCCCCACACGAAGUGGAUAUUUCAAUCGGUUUCUCGCUUCCUCUACAAAAAUAUGUCGGGGGGGGGGGGCGCUCGCUGAUGUCUACUUCACAACCUUCUUCUUGUAGAUGUUGUUGGGCCUGCAAGUGCACAGGUUUGUAGAACAGUAGCAAAUUUCCCUCAAGUGGAUGACCUAAGGUUUAUCAAUCCGUAGGAGGCGUAGGAUGAAGAUGGUCUCUCUCAAACAACCCUGCAACCAAAUAACAAAGAGUCCCUUGUGUCCCCAACACACUCAAUACAAUGGCAAAUUGUAUAGGUGCACUAGUUCGGCGAAGAGAUGGUGAUACAAGUGCAAUAUGGAUGGUAUAUAUAGGUUUUUGUAAUCUAAAAAAUAUAAAAACAGCAAGGUAAAUAAUGAUAAAAGUGAGCGUAAACGGUAUUGCAAUGAUAGGAAACAAGGCCUAAGGUUCAUACUUUCACUAAUGCAAGUUCUCUCAACAAUAAUAACAUAGAUAGAUCAUAUAACAAUCCCUCAGCAUGCAACAAAGAGUCACUCCAAAGCAACAAAGAGUCAAGACGAAAACGUGUGCCAACCCUUAUCCAUAGGUUUGUUCUCCGCUAUUAGUGGCUUUGGAGUGACUCUUUGUUGCAUGUUGAGGGAUUGUUAUAUGAUCUAUCUAUGUUAUUAUUGUUGAGAGAACUUGCACUAGUGAAAGUAUGAACCUUAGGCCUUGUUUCCUACCAUUGCAAUACCGUUUACGCUCACUUUUAUCAUUAGUUACCUUGCUGUUUUUAUAUUUUCAGAUUACAAAAACCUAUAUCUACCAUCUAUAUUGUACUUGUAUCACCAUCUCUUCGCCGAACUAGUGCACCUAUACAAUUUACCAUUGUUUUGGGUGUGUUGGGGACACAAGAGACUCUUUGUUAUUUGGUUGCAGGGUUGCUUGAGAGAGACCAUCUUCAUCCUAUGCCUCCCACGGAUUGAUAAACCUUAGGUCAUCCACUUGAGGGAAAUUUGCUACUGUCCUACAAACCUCUGCACUUGGAGGCCCAACAACGUCUAUAAGAAGAAGGUUGCGUAGUAGACAUCAACCAGCAACUUCGCCGCCGUCAUCACCAACUCCCCCCCUCUAUGCAGUGGUGUAACCUCUCUUUUACCCGUUGUAAUCUCUACUUAAACAUGAUGCUCAACGCUAUAUAUUAUUUCCCAACGAUGUAUGGCUAUCCUAUGAUGUUUGAGUAGAUCCGUUUUGUCCUAUGGGUUGAUUGAUGAUCACGAUUGGUUUGAGUUGUAUGUUUUAUUAUUAGUGAUGUCCUAUGGUGCUCUCCAUGUCGUGCAAGCGUGAGGGAUCCUCGCUGUUGGGUUUGCAAUAUGUUCAUGAUUCGCUUAUGGUGGGUGGCGUGAGUGACAGAAGCACAAACCCGAGUAAGUAGGUUGUUUGUGUAUGGGAGUAAAGAGGACUUGAUACUUUAAUGCUAUGGUUGGGUUUUACCUUAAUGAUCUUUAGUAGUUGCAGAUUCUUGCUAGAAUUCUAAUCAUAAGUGCAUAUGAUCCAAGAAGAGAAAGUAUGUUAGCUUAUGCAUGUCCCUCGUAUAAAAUUACAAUAGUGAUUAUUGGUCUAGUUAUCGAUUGCCUAGGGACAAAUAACUUUCUUGUGACAAAAAGCUCUCUACUAAAACUAACUUAGUUGUGUCUUUAUCUAAAUAGCCCAUACUUUUUAUUUACACGCUCUUUAUUAUCUUGCAAACCCUAUCCAACAACACCUACAAAGUACUUCUAGUUUCAUACUCUUUCUAGGAAAAGCAAACGCUAAGCGUGCGUAGAGUUGUAUCGGUGGUCGAUAGAACUUGAGGGAAUAUUUGUUCUACCUUUAGCUCCUCGUUGGGUUUAACACUCUUACUUAUCGAAAGAGGCUACAACUGAUCCCCUAUACUUGUGGGUUAUCAGGCCACACAGCGGAACUUGUAUGGGCCACCAAUAUCGGUGCUAAAACCGACGGAUCUCGGAUAGGGGGUCGCGAGCUGUAGGUCUAGGAAUAGUGGUAACAUGACACAAGGGAGAAGAUGUUUACUCAAGUUCGGGCCCUCUCGAAGAGUUAAAACCCUACGUUCUGCUUUGAUUAUAUUGAUGUGAUGGAGUGCAGAGUACAAGAUGAUCUACCACAAGAUCGGAUGAUUGUGUUCUAAACCCUAAGGCUGGUAAUUAUGCCUCUAUAGACUAAAACCCUUGGCUUAUAUACACAUCGGGGGUACCUAGGUUACACGUAUGGUCGGUUGCCAACUAGGAAUAAACUUGCUGACUACUAGAACUUUUCCUUGAAGUAUACGCCAAGUCUCGGAAGGUUCCAUCUUGAUCACACUGGGGGCCACAGCUUCGGCAAUCCCCUCUGUAGGUCGGUGGGUCAUCAGCCUGGCCCAUGGACGACAUGACAUACAGGUUGAUACCCCUCGGUCCAGGACAUCGUCACUCCUCCCUCAUUAUAAUUAUGUAAAUAUUAUAUUAUUUUCUCAAAAUUAAAUAUUAUAUUUAUUUUUUAGGAUCAAAUAUUAUAUUUAUAUAAAUCCCUAGAAAGCCCUACGAAUAAAAGCAGCAUAUGGUGGGUGGACCAUCUAGUAGUAGUUAUAUUAUAGUGACGAGAAAGAAAAAAUCUUCACUUGUUCGCCGGCUCUGUCUUGCCGCGUGUGGUCUUGCAGCGUAGCAGGUAGGAUUGGUUUUUUGAUUGGGGCGGGGGAUUUCGUGUCAUUAGGUUUCUAGGGCUUUUCGACCUCUUGAACUCACCUCCUAAGUGUUGGCUCCAUUCUGAUUUGGGUUUUUUUGCGGGAAUAAAUUUGUUUGUUCCGGCGUUGGGGUAAAAGGGACGGGGAUUUCGUGAGGGCUUUGAAAACGUUGAAAGAUUUCACCACUUUGUAAUUUGAAUCGUUGUUGGGCUAAAAGAAAGAGAACUCACCUACUUAUAGUUCUAAUAAUUUGAAUUGUUGUCAGUCAUUAGGUUCAGGAAAGGGAAUGGGAUUUUGUGGAGUAAAAAAAAGCAAAGAACCACCACAUUUGCGUUUUGAUUAGCAAAAAAAAAA
rnacentral:lncRNA from 1 species